rnacentral:lncRNA from 1 species
AUACCCUGCAUCCACUGUGACAAUAUUGUAGGCAACCUGGGUGAUGCCAUCAUGUAGAAGGAGAGUUGGGGGCUGAGCAGACUCGUUGCAGGUAAGCUCGAAGUCACCACCACGGGAACAACGAGGCCCGAUGCCAAAAGGAUAGCUGAAGGUCAAGUCUCCACAGCUCGUCUGGCAACCGGAGAGGGUGGGGAUGGUGGAAACCGUGCCAUUGCUCUCUGCUUGGCUUCCCAGCACGACGGAUACCAGCAUCAAUAGUUGAAUCCCCAGCAGUGAACGGAGGAGCAAUAAUGGAAACAUCCUCCACGCCGGGACUUUUGUAUGUUAUGUGGUUUGCAGUUUCAAUGAUGAAGGAAUAGCUCGAAAACAGGGUAUGCAUCAUUAUAUAGAAUUAUGUUGGGGCAACUUAGUCAUUUCCAUUGACUACACAGUAUAAUUGUGGGGCUAAAGGUUGUCGUCUUUUUUCUUUUUUCUCCACAUGCAUUUUCCAGUUGUCAAAUUUGGCCGGUUCGAGAACAAUAGUCUACUGCUUGCCUUUUUGGGUCCACAACACCAAAAUAUGGAGGCCCUAACAAAAAGAUCAAAAUAUCAAGGGAUUUGAUACUUUUGUUUAACGAGAAAACAAAUAUGUGGAUAACCCUCCAAAUCCAACCUAGUGCCUACUUGUAACAUAAAUGCAGUGUCGAUCUUGCCAAUCUCAACUAGCCCCUUAAUUUGAUUUUCUGACUCCUCUUAUGAUUUCUCACAUAUAUAACUCGGUGGGUGAGAAAUCAAAAGAACGAUUUAGAUUCGCCGUAUGAAACACGUGGUAUCCAUCGGACCAGGUAUGCACGCAGUUAGAUUUGGAGCAGUCAUACAUGUAAGUUUUUUUAUGUGUGGCGUAGCCUUUGUUUUCCAUACACUUCAGUGUCACAACUAUAAUUAGCGAUAUGCAAUUAUAUUAUCUGCAUUCAAAUGUAUUGGCAAAAAAUUUGUUUUUUCCUAGACUUGAAUUAACUUUGUUGGGAUCUGGACCAAUUAAGAAAGUCCCUACACGAUUUAAAUUAAAAACCCAAUUAGCUAUUAUAGAGAAUCAUUUUCGUAAAACUUCAUAUAUAUGGUCAGUCAACUAUUAGCGUGACAAAUCAGCAAAACAUUAUUUUCCACACAAGACAUGUAUGGACGACAAUGAUGAAUAAUUAGUGCGAGAUGUCCAUACGAGACCAAUAAGAGGCUUGAUGCUCUUGUCGUUGGACCCAUAACACCAAGUCGUCCAAUGUUAGUCAUCAGUUAGUUGCAUUGUCUCGCUCCACGCGCUAAAACUAUUCUAACCCGUAGAAUGGGGCAGCAGCAUUCAUGAUUUCGACACCUUCAUUAGAGGCAGUAAAUAGCAUUGGACUGAUGUGUGGUACAGUUGUUAACAAAGAAGACGUCAAUUCGAAAAGGGACUAGAUUUUUCCAUGGAAACAAGCUGGAAUUCCAAUCUCCAGUAGGGAUGUUUGGAUACUAGGUGCUAAACUUUAGCAGUGUCACAUCGGAUGUUCGGAUGCUAAUUAGGAGAACUAUGAGCUAAUUAUAAAAAACUAAUUGCAGAACCCCUGUGCUAAUUCGCGAGACGAAUCUAUUAAACCUAAUUAAUCCAUCAUUAGCAAAUGGUUACUGUAGCACCAUAUUGUCAAAUCAUGGACUAAUUAGGUUUAAUAGAUUCGUCUCGUGAAUUAGACUCCAUCUGUUCAAUUAGUUUUGUAAUUAGCCUAUGUUUAAUACUUCUAAUUAGCAUCUUAAACAUCCGAUGUGACAGGUGCUAAACUUUAGCGGUGGGUAUCCAAACACCCCUUUAGUGGGCGAGUUAGGCAUUGAGUCCACGACUCAGAACAGUCUACAAAAAGACUUGCUUGGCCAACAACGUUGACGGAUUUUUGUAGCCGUUAUAUAACUAUUUUCACUAGAGGUACGUGACUGUUAUUUUGACGCCCAUUACCCGCUGGUAAAGCUGGUAACGGACUACGUUAAUGCCCAUUACCUACAACAUAGAACUUGACACAGCUGCUCCAGCAGGCACAUGCGGCUAUGCCCGCGACUGUAGUGGGCUAGCUGCCUUCGAUUGGUUGGCUUGCUAGCUGGUAGGCAGAAACUUUUGUCCAGUCCCCACCGGCUGCGUCAAUAUUGCUUGGCUGGUUGCUGGUUUCCGUAGCGAAUCAUGCAUUUACAAAGUCGUUAGGUACUUAGAAUGUUGACAUCAUGGACCCUCUCCCAGAUACAGGUCUUUUUCCUUAAAUAUUUCCUCGUCGCCGUGAGGCGAUCUUGAAGCUGCCUGAUGCUCCUUGCUCUGAGGAACAUGCUUGGUAUUUCAAUAACAACUUGUAUGUCUCUCAUGCAACACCUAUAAUUAAUGUUUCUUGUUUUCGUCCAGAAUGACCACGCUCCGUUUGCUGCCACUGCCCAUGUGCUGAUUAAUUUUGCUAGUUUACAGUGCAACAGAGGUAUAUGUUUCGCAAACAAAGAUGAAACUUCUCUACAUAUCCAUAGUAGACAUACGGGUAAAGAAACAUGCAUGUAAGGAAAAUGGCGGUCAAAGUCAUUGUUCUGAUUUUAGGGAUUGAGUGACAUCAAUGUAAAUAGGACUGAUAUGUUUGUCAAAGUCUUUCAUCCUUGUAGGAUCUUUACCAUGUCCAUGUCCAUGCCCUAGGCCACGGCCGUGCCAUGUCCCCUCCAUUGGCCGACACGCAUACACUCGUGCCGGUGAGUGUAACAACCUAAUUUUCAAACUUUUCAAUUAAUAAAAUUUGUUAGAAUUUAAUUGCACAUGACUAAGGAAUUUUAAGGUUGCAUUUAAAUUUUCUUUAGCAUUUAAAUCUUUCUCAAAGUAAAUUAACGAAUCAUAGGAGUUCAUUGGCAUUAUUUUUUUUGGCUGCUUGAAUUCAAAUUCGCAUUUGAAUUCAUUUGUUUGAAUAUUUUUAAACAAUAGGAAAUCAUUUUCUUUUCCUAUCCCUUUCCUUUUCCUCUUUCGGCCCGUUUCAUCAGCGCAGCAAUAGCCCCAGGUCGGCCCAGCAGCGCCCUCCGCACCGUUCCGCUUCCAGCCCAGCUCCGUAGCGCAGCCGCCUCGACCCAUCUUCCCACGUCAGCCCACUCCCGUGCCGCCUCCGCUCCCGCUGCUGACAGACGGGGCCCACCUGUCAUUCCUCUCCUCGCGCCGCACCUGAACCGGACUCCAGUCUGAGUUCCGGACGCUCCCGUCCGCCCGUGCCUUCCUUGGCCUGCACGCCAAGACGCCCUCCCAGGCCUAUUUAACCUGCCACCGCACCCCCUCAACCCCACCAAGAAAACCCUAAGCUCCCACGCCCUAGCUCUCGAGUUGUCGCAACCCUAGCUCGCGCUUGCCGCCAAUGACCCGCGCCGCCGUUGCCUUCCAGUCAGCAGAAACACCACCCAGAGCACCGCAAGGAGGUGGCGAAACCUCCCGUGAAGAUCUCGUGCACUCUUGUGCUUCCUUUCGCGUGCACGAGCUUGCUGUAGUUGAGCUCCUCCGCUCGAGCCGCCCCACCACGUCGCCCUUCGCCUCCGUUGCCUUGGCUGCCGUGGGAACCACCUAGAUCGUUUUGCAAGCUCCCCAGCUUCAUCCCAAGCUAGUCCGCAUCGAGUUUUGUGGCUGGGAACUCGAGCUUUGCUCGAUUCCGGUGAACUUUGCCACCCAGUGCCGUCGAGCGCCACCGCCCACCGCCUCGUAGCGCCACUAGUCGCCCGAUCCUGAUCGAACGGCUCAGAUAAGAUCUGACUGGAGUCAAUCCGGCCACGUACCGGUCAACCUUGCCACGACGUUGCUCUUUUGCUAAAGAGAUCCUGAGUUAUCUUAUUUUUGCACCCGAGGUCCAGUGCAGUUCAAAAGUAAUUAGAUCUAGGUUGUUUUUCUUCCAUUUUAGCCCCUGCUUUUCUUAGUUUUUAUGCUUGCCAUCCUAGAUUUGCUCUUUUACACUAUAGACCUUUGGUUUCUACGCAUAAUGAGAUUUUAGCCCUUGGUUUAUUUAAGUUUAGCCCCUGGAAGUUUACUUUUCUUGCAGAUAAGCCCUUACAUCUUGUCUAGGCUAUAUCUUUAGCGUUUUAGAUCCGUUUUGAAUGAUUCUUGCGUCUGUGAGUUUGUCUUAAGGCGUAGACUAGUUUUAUGAACUUUUUUUUCCUUGUUGCUACUGUUUGGUGUAUUUUUUUAUUAUUUUAGUUCUUUGUUUGCUUGUAUGUACUUGUUUGAUGCAAGUAGAAGGACCGCAGUUCGAGGGAUUCGAAGAUCAAGCCUUUGAAGACUUCAAGCAACAAGAGCAAGUUCACGAAGGCAAGUCAUGCCCUUGAUCACAAUUUGAUCCUAUGCAACCUUUACUUUUAUGUUCAAUACAAUAUGCUAUGCACAUUAGGUUAUAAACAUGAUAGUUCCUAUAUAAGGUUUGCCUUGUUUUAUCCUUAUGCCUUGAUCAACCUGGGUUUAUAUCAUGUUGGAUAGUUCUUGCUUAGUUGCUCUAUUUGGGUACGAUGGUAUUAAUGAACCAAUGUUUAAACUUGUUUUAUUUAUGUUGUAUCUUUCAUUAAUACAAGAUCACCAUGCUUAAUUGGAACAUGGAGAACCCCCUAGGAAAACAGUACAACCACAAGAACUACAUGGCUCUGGUGUUGGCUAAUUAAUUAGAUACUCUAGUCUGGGUAACCUUAUCGAAAGGUCAAGAGGGGAGGCAUUGAUGGGGUAUAACCCGGCCCUCUGGCUGAUCUGCUCUAUGGUAGCUUCAUAGUUUUGAGAGAGGUUUAUGCUCUGCUUCGACUUGAAACCUUAGUGGGUUACUAUUUACUCGGGAAUCUUUGUAAAGGCCUCAUAGCGUCCCUAUGCAAUCACACCUCGGAAGUGUGGUAUUGUGCUUGGCUGGCACAACAUGGUUGGAUCUAAAGUUCUUUUGAAAUUUUACGUGACUUGUGGGUAAAGAUGUACAACCUCUGCAAAGUGUAAAACUGAUCGAUCAGCCGUGCUCAAGGUUAAGAGCGACCUGGAUCCUCACAUGAUUAAUUUAUCAGGAGUUGAAUUAAAUUGAAGUUAUUUAUUUAUUGUUAUCUUUAUUUAUGUUCAUGUUUAAUUGGGGUGGUAUAAACUUAUACUUAGUAAUUGCUAAUAAAACUUUACUAGCCAAUUAAAAUGCUGAAAUAUUAUUAGACCUUAGCCCAUCCUUGAAUGGCCUUACACUACACAUUCCUCAUGCUUGUUGAGUACCAACCAUAAGUGUACUCACACUUGCUAAAAUCACUGCUCACACCAAUUCAAUCUCGAGGAGGUCCUUCAAGACUUUGAGGAGUUCUAGGAGAAUGUGUGCCACUAAUCAACUGCCUGUGGAGUUGUCGUCAUUGUUGGAGUUUUGCUACUAGAAUAAAGACUCAUUUGCUAUUUUAUUUAAAGACCUUUGGUCAUGUAAUAAAUUCAAUACUCUCUUUAUGUUUUGGCAUUGUCUAUGGUACUUACUGAAGUCAUUGCAUGUGUAAAACUUAAUCCUAGCACACAUGUAAUUUAUUCAUCUAGUUUUGCCUUUAAAACCGGGUGUGACAAAAGUGAUAUCAGAGCUGAGUUGACUGUAGGACGUUAUCCUAGUUACAAAAUGGUCGAAUUUAAGGAUUAUAAUGCUUUGGUAGCCAUUCUUACUUAAUGUUUUCUUUAAAUCUACUUUAAAAUGCUUAUCCUUUCUAUUAUCCUAUCUCCAUUGCUCUACUUGUUUCUUUAUCUUGUUUUCUACAUUCUUUACACUCUAUGCUUCUUGAUGAUCUUGAUGAUGAGGUCCUUCAAACUCGCCCUAUGAUCUCGAUGAUCACUCCUUCGCCCUAUGUUAGUGUUUUAUAUCUUGGUGGGGGAUUGUCGGACCUAGAACUCGAAGGUAGAAGUGAGAAUACAAGACACAGAUUUAUAUAGGUUCGGGCCGCCAGAGUAGCGUAAUACCCAACGCCCUGUUUGGGAAGUUGUAUAUUACGCCCUGCGCUUAGGUGUUACAUAGCCUGAUUGUUGGCUAUUGAUGAUGGUUCUAUGAGGUCUUGGCCUUUGUUGAUCUGAGCUCUGACGAUCUAGAUACCCCUACCCUCCUUUAUAUACUCCACGAGGCGGGAUAACUAGUUGGUUAUAAGGAGGAGUCGUAGUAGGAUUACAUGGUAUGAGCAGGUAUUAGGGAUCUAUCCCUGACAGGUGGAUAUCCUAUUUGCUAGUCUAUGUCGUGCUGAGUUUGAUCGUGUCGAGGAUCUAUAUCUUGCUCAUGAUAUUUGGUCCAAACUCUAGAGUUUCCAUGAGGGGAACAGUUAGGUGAAGGCACGACUCUUUGAGACUUACCGAUGUGAGUAUGAAAACUUUAUUCAUUUGAUCAGUGAGUUAGCUGAUGCUUUGUUCCAGCGCUUUCUUACUAUUGUGAACAAGAUGAGAGCAAACAUCACCAUCUUACCCUACACUGAUCAUGAUAGAGCUUUAAAGCUCCUGCAUGCUUUGGACCACGAGGUGUGGGUACGAAGGUUGAUGCUAUCAUCGAGUCCACAAGCUAUGAAACUCCUGCAGUUGAUGAACUUUUUGCCAAGCUGAAAUUGACAGAGGUUGACAAGAGGCUCCGAGCUAAACAAGGGAGUCCUACUAAUCCUCAUAGUAUGGCUCUUGUGUUAGGCUCUAGAUAGUCUAUGUCUUUGGCUAACCCUUCCACUAUGUCCUUUGCUUUGUCUUCUUUGUUGUCUGUUUUAGAGCAGUUGGAGGUUCUUGAGGAUGAGGAGCUCGCCUUUAUCAUGAGACGGUAAUCGCAAGAACCGGUGAAGGAACAACAACAACUGCUUCGAGUGUGGCAAGUCAGGACACUUCGCCGCCGACUGCCCCGACAAGAACAAGUCCAAGAACGGGUACGACUACAUCAAGUACAAGUACAAGGACAACGAGAAGAAGAAGAAGUAUACCGGUCGUGAGAAGAACGAGCACUGCAAGAAGGCUAAAGCACGUGCCUUCAUCACCUCCCUCAGCAAGAACGGGUACUAGUUCCUUGUAUGGAAUUCACAUAACAAAUUUGCAUAACAUUUCAUUCUUUACAACCUAAAAAUGGGCUUCAUUCUUUUUUGCUAUAGUUUCUGAUGAUUAUUGUUACUUUUUUCUGUCUAUAUUAUUGUCACUCAAGCCCGCAUCUUAUAUAUGAAUGCAUGCACUGAAAACAAAGUUAAGGUGUCUGUGUGUUGUUUAUACAGAGAGUGGAUCGAGGUGUCUGGCAUAAUAUUUUUUUGACAUUCCAAUUUUCUUUCCUUGUAUGUUAUAUACAAUAGUUCUAGUUAUUGCAAUGCAUGGGAGCAGCAAAACUGCUAUAUUUUUUUUAUUACUUUCCCAAGUUCUUAAAAUUAUCACUUCAUGCUAACAGAAUUUAUGGUUUUAAGCUACACCUGGAGCAGCAUACUGUGGGUAGAGCUGUGCUACCGAAACAUAGCUGGCUGGAAAUUUGUACUGAGGUAGGAAAUGAGGUAGCUUGAGUCUGUAAAAAACAUCAUCAGGCUGUUUUGCUUUCGAAUUAAUGUGGCUCCAGUUCGUGUCAUGCCUUCUUGACUGAUUGGAUGAACCCAAUUGCUUGGGAAUGUUAAAGAUAAAGAGUUUGGUUGUAAUUGGAAUAGGAUAUCUGGAAGAUUAUCUUUGGGCGGCUGCUAUUCUAGUUGUAACAGAUAUGUAUUUUUAAAUUAGUUUGGCCAAAGAUAUCUCCUAGAGAGGUCCUAUAUAUUGUAAUUUCCUGUGUGCUAUUUUGCACAAUAUUAUAACACGCAACCGUUGCACCCUUAAGGUUGGGGCAACAUUCCACGCAGCGCAAGCACCUCUGUUACCUUUCAUGGUAAUCGGAGCAUAGAAUUAGAUCCAUGGCUUCAAGCUCAAGUGUCUCCAAUCCCCUACUCGGCGUUCAGAUCAUAGAGAAGCUGAGUAAGAGCAACUAUGCGCUCUUGAAGGCGUAGGUGCUCACCGCCCUACGUGGUGUUCGGAUGGAAGGCUUCAUCACCGGCAAGACCGGCGUCCCCUCACCUGAGAUCGAUGACAAGCUGUCUGACGGCAAGAUCGUCAAGGUGCCAAAUCCAGCAUAUGAAGAGUGGUAUGCCCGGGAUCAACAGGUCCUUGGGCUCAUCUUCUCAAGCGUGGGGAAGGAUGCCCUCACGCAGAUUGCUGCUGCAAAGAUGGCAGCACAGGCAUGGCAAGAGAUCGAGAACAUGUUCACCACCCAAACUAGGGCUCGGUCGAUGAAUGUGCGCCUAGCAUUGACAACUACAAAGAAAGGUACAUUGUCAAUUACUGAAUAUUAUGCCAAGAUGAGAUGGAGGCCUCUGGAAAGCCGCUAGAUGAUGAAGAACUUGUCGCGUAUAUCGUCAACGGAUUGGAUUCAGAAUUCAAUCCUGUGGUGUCGACGCUCGUCACAAGGGUCAAACCGAUCUCGGUUACUAAGCUCUACUCCCAGCUACUUAGUUUCGAGAAUAAGCUUGAACUCCAAGAUGGCUCAGGAUCCUCCAUCAACAACAUUGUUAGGGGCAGUCGAGGCUCUUCUGGAGGUCACAGUGGUGGGAGCCGUGGCCGUAGCUCUAGGCAUGGUGGCCAUGGUGGUUUUGGUCGCGGAUGCGGGAACCAGAACUAGCCGCGGCUCAAUCCAGGAAGCCAGCACCGCCCAUCUGGAAGCUCCAACGAUAGUCGCCCUCUCUGCCAGGUCUGCUUCAAGAAAGGGCACCUCAUCUCUGAUUGCUGGCAUCGCUACGACGACACUUACGUCCCCGAUGAGUGCCUCGUUGCUGCUGCCUUCAACAACUCCUACAGUGUGGAUACUAAUUGGUAUACCAACAUUGGGGCUACGGAUCAUGUCACAAGCGAGCUAGAGAAGCUCUCCUUCCGUGACAAAUACAAGGGAGGUGAACACAUUCAUACAGCAAGCGGCACAGCUAUGGAGAUCAAACAUGUUGGUCAUACUAUUGUUCCAACCUAUUCUAGAGAUUUACAUCUUAAAAAUGUCUUACAUGUUCCUCAAGCUACAAAAAAUCUUGUCUCCGUUCAUCGCCUAGCUAAAGAUAAUUCCGCCUUCAUUGAAUUUCACCCUGAUUAUUUUCUUAUCAAGGAUCAGUCCACGAAGAACGCGAUCCUUAGAAGGAGAUGUCACAAGGGUCUCUACCCUCUUCCUGCAGUGCAUCCAGUCAAGCAGGCGUUUGGAGUUGUCAAGCCAUCCCUUGCACGGUGGCAUAGUCAUCUGAGUCAUCCUGCUUAUCCCAUUGUUAGCAAGAUUGUUAGCAAUAAUAAUCUACCUUGUUUAGUUGAGAAUAAUAAAGAGUCUGUAUGUGAUGCUUGUCAAAAGGCAAAAAGUCAUCAAUUGCCUUAUUCUAGAUCAUCGAGUGUCUUUAGUUUUCCCUUAGAACUUAUUUAUUCAGAUGUCUGGGGUCCUGCACCCACUUCUACUGGAGGAAAGAAAUAUUAUGUUAGUUUCAUUGAUGAUUAUAGCAAAUUCACAUGGAUUUAUUUGCUCAAAUUUAAAUCCGAGGUUUUUCAAAAGUUUCAUGAGUUUCAAAGUCUAUUUGAAAGAAUGUUCGACAAAAAAAUCAUUGCUAUACGGACUGGAGGUAAGUAUCAAAAACUCCACACCUUUUUUGAUAAAGUCGGCAUCUCCCAUCAUAUUUCAUGUCCCUAUGCGCAUCAAUAGAAUGGUGCAAUAGAAUGCAAGCAUCGUCAUAUUGUAGAAGUUGGCUUAUCCCUUCUUGCCCAUGCAUCUAUGCCUUUGAAAUUUUAGGACGAAGCCUUCCUAUUAGGUACAUAUCUCAUAAAUCGAGUUUCUAGCAAAGUUAUUCACCAUGAAACACCUUUAGAACGUCUCUUUGAUCAAAAACUAGAUUAUUCUUCCCUUAGAACCUUUGGGUGUGCAUGCUGGCCCAAUCUUAGACCAUACAACAAGCACAAACUCGAAUUCAGAUCUAAGUAGUGUGCCUUCCUUGGGUACAGUCAACAUCAUAAAGCGUUCAAGUGUCUUGACAUAGCAUCAGGUCGAGUUUAUAUCUCCAGAGACGUCGUCUUUGAUGAGAUGGAAUUUCCCUUCUCCAAACUGCAUGAGAACGUAGGAGCUCGUUUACGCUCUGAAAUCUCCCUCCUUCCCUCCCAUCUUCUCAAUCCUUCUGUUGGGGUGGAACAUAUAGGUGACCACUUGUCUGAUUCUCCUAAUACUACAAAUGAUUCUGGUGAAAUUUGUGAAGAACAUGCUGCACGAAAUAACAGCAACAGAGCUGGUCCAAGCACAGCACACAAAGCUGAUUUAGCGCCGCUUCCAACUGACCAGGCCUCGGGAUCGCCAGGCGUAUCCGCGUGCAAUUCUGCACGUGAGUCCACUCCCACCACGUCACCCCCGAUCGCGCUUGACUCAUCCCUACCUACGCCUGCUCCCGCCUCUCCUCCUGGGCGCCAGUCCGUGCCCGCCAUGUCGGCAUCGCCACACGCUCUGCUCUAGUUGGGCGUGCUGGAGGGGCAUAAUGGCGCCAAUGAUAGUGCCAAUGAUGGCACCAAUGAUGCAGAUGGCAGGUGCAACGGUGAACCUAGAUCUUCUGCACCGAUGGAAGCUGCUGACUCUCCUGUUGAGUCCUCUGAUUGUCCAGUUCCGUCUACACCUAUGCGUCCUACUACCCGUCUACAACGUGGCAUCCGCAAGGAGAAGGUAUACACUGAUGGCACUAUUAAAUAUGGAUUUUUUACAUCAUCUGGUGAGCCGCAUAAUGUUAGUGAAGCUAUGACAAGUGCACAUUGGAAAGCUGCUAUGGAUGACGAAUGUAUGGCACUAAUGAAGAAUAAAACAUGGCAUCUAGUUCCAUCUAAGAAGGGUGUUAAAUGUUAUUGAUUGCAAAUGGGUAUAUAAAAUCAAAAGAAAAGCUGAUGAAAGUUUGGAUAGACAUAAAACCAGACUGGUUGCUAAGGGUUUCAAGCGAAUGUAUGGCAUUGACUAUGAAGAUACUUUUAGUCCUGUUGUUAAACCAGCCACUAUCAGGAUUGUUUUGUCUAUUGUUGUAUCUAGAGGAUGGACCCUCCAUCAACUUGAUGUACAUAAUGCUUUCCUUCAUGGUGUUUUGGAGGAAGAGGUUUACAUCAGACAACCUCCUGGCUAUGAGGACAAAUCUCUGCCUGGUUAUAUAUGCAAAUUAGAUAAAGCAUUGUACGGUCUAAAGCAAGCACCUAGAGCAUGGUACUCCAGGUUAAGUACAAAGCUACAUGAGCUGGGGUUCAAGUCAUCAAAGGUAGACACAUCCUUAUUCUUCUAUAAUAAAGGGGGAGUUAUUGUCUUCAUACUUGUUUAUGUAGAUGAUAUCAUUGUUGCUAGUUCAAGACAGGAGGUUGUGUCGGUUCUAUUAAAGAAUCUCAAUAAGGAUUUCACACUAAAAGAUCUUGGAAAGCUUCAUUACUUCCUCGGCAUAGAAGUGAAUCAGAUCCAUAAUGGAAUUAUAUUGACACAAGAGAAGUAUACGAAUGAUUUGUUACAACAAGUUGGUAUGAAAGAUUGCAAACCAGUUGCUACUCCAUUAUAUACCUCAGAGAAGUUGUCUCUUCAUGAAGGUAAUUUGUUUGGACCGAAUGAUGCCACAAAUUAUAGGAGUGUUGUAGGAGCUUUACAGUAUCUGACUUUGACUAGACCUGAUAUAUCAUAUUCUGUUGAUAAAGUCUAUCAGUUUCUACAUGCACCUAAUAUUGUGCAUUGGAUGGCGGUCAAGAGAAUUCUUAGAUAUCUUAAGCACACGGUCAAGCUUGGUUUAAAGAUUUGCAAGUCUUCUUCUUUGUUGGUGAGUGCUUUCUCAUAUGCUGAUUGGGCAGGGUGCCUAGAUGACAGACGAUCUACUAGAGGAUUUGCAGUAUUCUUGGGGACGAAUCUAGUUUCUUGGAGUGCUCGAAUACAAGCAACUGUGUCAAGGUCUAGCACUGAAGCGGAAUAUAAAGCAAUAGCUAAUGCGACUGCAGAAACAAUGUGGAUACAGACUUUGUUGUAUGAAUUGGGCAUAGAUGUGCCGAGGAUAGCCAAGCUUUGGUGUGACAAUAUUGGAGCUAAGUAUCUUUCUGCGAAUCUAGUCUUCCAUGCUAGAACUAAACAUAUAGAAGUCGAUUAUUACUUUGUAAGAGAAAGGGCGGCUAAGAAACUACUUGAUAUCGAGUAUAUAUCUACAAAGGAGCAGGUGGCUGAUGGUUUCACAAAGCCAUUGACGAUGCGGCAGCAGGAGUUGUUCAAGAACAAUCUGAACCUAGAACGGUUGAGGGGGAGUGUUAGAGAUGAAGAGUUUGGUUGUAAUUGGAAUAGGAUAUCUGGAAGAUUAUCUUUGGCCGGCUGCUAUUCUAGUUGUAACAGAUAUGUAUUUGUAAAUUAGUUUAGCCAAAGGUAUAUACUAAAGAGGUCCUAUAUAUUGUAAUUUCCUGUGUGCUAUUUUGCACAAUAUUAUAACACGCAACCGUUGCACCCUUAAGGUUGGGGCAACGUUCCACGCAGUGCAAGUGCCUCUGUUAUCUUUCAGGGAAGACCUACCAGUCUCUGGCGAAAUCAGUCAGUCUCCUUGUAUUGUUUGCAUUGGCUUGUAGUCCCUCAGUCCAAAAUUACUAUUUUUUUUGGCAUUUGUAGGUACAUAUUUUGAGACGGAAGGAGUAGGUUGGUAGUACAGAGAUUUCUUAUAAUUUUCCGGUCUCCCCUUGGACGUUGAUUGACGCGAACAUGCAUCUGGAAUGCAGCGUCUAAUAUCAGGUCCAAACUGCUACUCAAUCGUUCUAAUAUCAGGUCCAAACUGCUACUCAAUCGUUCACCGGGUAAAGACAUAAUGUGAAGACCGCAUCUAAGUCGUUCAAGGGCCACAGGUCGUCGGCGUUAUUCAAGUGUACGCAGAGACCUUGCUUUCAGGGGAACAUUCAGCUCCAAAUAAACAUGCCUUUCUCAGAGAACAUGUAUGGAAUUCCCAUAACAAUUUUGCAUAACAUUUCAUUCUUUACAACCUGAAGAGCAUAUAUCUUAGAAUACAGACACGUGUUACACAAGAACACAAUUAAAACACCUUCCACGUAUCUACAUAUACUUAAAUAUGCCACUGUUGCGACAAUAGAUGUCACGGAAAUUUUUAUCUUGCAAAUUCUAUGCAGUUAUCUGUCCAUAUUGAUUUCAUCUUGCAAACUCUAUGCUCAUCGAGGCUUUCUUCUGGAGGAUGUAAUAAUCUGUGCUUUCUUCACUAGUAUAGUCACCCGAUGAAUUGUCAGACGACCGUCCCUGCAUCAUGAGUGCACUAACACCAUGAAACCCUUGAGUGCGAAGUGGUACUGGACAUGCCAAUCGCUGGAGUUCCUCUGCUACCUCUCUCAUCAUUGGCCUGUGUUGACCGGUCAUGGCCAAGCACCGACUUGCUACCGCAGCCACUUGAAGUAUUAACUCCAUGUUUUCUUGAUUGUCUAUCUCCCUAUCUAUGAGUUCUGUAAGCUUGCCCUCCUUUACACCUUCCAUGAAGACAAACACGAGGCUUACCUUUGUUUUGGACAGUGCCCUCCUUCGUGUUAAGAGCUCCAAAAGAACAACACCAAAGCUGUAAACAUCACUCUUAUCAGUAAGCUCAAAGUUCAAAAGGUACUCUGGAUCUAAGUAGCCCAUCGUCCCCUACACUACUUGAACAUUUUCAUCAGCUGACCUAAUCAUGGAGCACCCAAAAUCAGAAACUUUUGCAGAGAGAUCAUGGCCUAGAAGAAUAUUAACGGACUUGGCAUCUCCAUGAAAGACAGGGUGGCUAAGAGAAUGUAGGUAUGCAAGUGCUGCAGCAAUCUCAGAGGCAAUUUUAAGACGGACCUCUAGAGUUCUUUUGGACGGAUCAACUUGUGUAUGAAUAAGAUGUUGUAGAGUUUGAUUUGGCACAUAUUCAUACACCAGAACUGGAGCUUCAAACUGCAAGCUGCAACCUAGAAGCUGAACGAUGUUUUCAUGUUUGACUUGAGAAAGUAUAAGAAGCUCCUUACCAAAUUCCAUUCUCCUAUUCUCAUCAAAUCCCUUGCAGAUCUUGAUAGCAACAGGAUUAUUUUCUAAAUCAAGAUUUUGCCUUAUAUAAACAGUCCCCUGACCACCUUCACCAAUGAUUGAGUUUUUGUCAAAGUUGUUGGUGGCCAACUCAAUUUCUUCUUGGUUACACAACUUAAAUGUUUUAUUGCUCGCUACUUUCAUCAUAUCCAUUAGCAAUUUCCCUCCAUUCUGCUGAAAGCAUUCAUCAGUCUUCCUCAUGUAUUCUUGCCUUAUUAUUUGUCGUUUGUGCUUGAUCCAUUCUUUACAAAGAUAAAGUAAUAGACCAAGCAAAACACAGGCAAAAAUUCCUGCAGGUCAGACAUGUAUCUAACUCGUAAGUUGGUGCAAGGAAAAAAUAAAGAAGUAUGGUAACUACUGGUGUACUGGUUGGUUUAUAUAUACUUGUGUCACUUAAAUACAAUAUUCAGUCACUACACAAAUGUGACACCAUGAGGACAGAUUUGUUUCAGCCAUGCUUUCACAGAUCUAAUUGAACAGUACGGAUGAUACGAGUAGUACCUAUUGGGAUUGUGACUUCUAGAGGAAUUGAGUGGUCCUUCUCACAUCUGUAUGCGUUGCCUUUGGGGUAAUGCGGAGGACAAAUGCAUUGAAAUCCUCCUUGAGUAUUCUUGCAAGUUCCCUUCACAGAGCAAGGGUAUUUCUCCAGAUUGUUAUUACAUUCAUCAACAUCUGCAAUGUUAGCAGUGGUAUAUAAAAUAUCGAGUAAAGAUUUCCAGUGGCAGUAGAUUAUCUCAUGACCUAAUCAAAGGCUAAAACAUUACCUCUCUUAUUUAUACAUACAUAUCACGCAAAAGGAAUUGCACCUAUAGAUUUCAUUACCUUCGCAUCCGUCAAGAAGGUAUGGAUUGCCUUGGAACCCUUUGGCGCAGUUGCAGAUGUAGCCUUGUCCACUGUCCGAAUUAAAGCACUCACUGCUAUUGCUGACACAUGCAUAUGACUCAGGCUUGUUCCGGGCUUCAUCGCAAGUUCCAUUCCCAAUAAGCAUCGUAGAACGCCGAUGAUGUAGCGUAGCUUUUGGAGAAUGUGAAUUCGGAUGCCUCGACCAGCGCCGCGUAGCUGCAGCGGCUGGUGUUAAUUGUAGAUCCUUGACGUGUUGAAGCCCUCAGUGAACCACACCUCGUAGUACUGCAGGCCCUUGGGGAUGGCCGUCUGGCAGCAGCCAAUUCCGGAGCAUGAGCCAUUAGUAAGUGUUCUUACAUCGCCUCGCCGGCACAUGGAGACACAACCGCUCAUGUACCGUAAACAAGUUAGCAGUCUCUGAGAAUCUAUAGGGCGUACCUGUCAGGUUCAGCCGCCAGUUUAGGUAAUCCAUUUCCUUAGUGGAGGUGUUGUAGCAAUAAGUCGACAUGUAUCCAUCCUCAUCUGGGCAAGACCUUGCUGCAGCCAGAUAUUCAGAACCUCUACAUCUAUAUGAAAUGGCCUGAAUGAUCCAUGGCCGACUUCCUUGCAGCUCAGGUUGAAUCCGGGCAAAUAGCAAUGAUCAGCGAGUCGUCAGGCCCAAUGCCAAAUGGAUAUGGGAUAUCGACUUCGCCGCAUUUUCUCUGACAGUUGUUGCUAGGCGGCGGCAAUGCUUCAACAGAAGAGAGUACUAUUACCGCAAGCACGACCACUACUCCAAGACAUAGCAGUGCAUCUAAUCUAUGGGGCAGCAUGGUGUGGUGGUGUUAUUUGGAUGUAAUCCAUUCUUUUAAGGACUCCCUUCAGAACCUCAAAGGACAUCAUGUACAUAGGUAGACUACCAAGUACCGAAUUAAUCAAAGUCAGUCGUCCCCAUUGCCCUUCCAACUACUGAGCUGCUUUUUGAAGCGUUGUUCAACUUUUAUCCAAUCGGCAUUUGAUCAUUUCUUAUAGUGAACUGGAAUACCCAAAUACCUCAUUAGAAAUGAUCCUGGAUUACAUCCAAAUAACUCUGUAUAGUAGGUCUCAUAAUUUUUCGCUUCACCAAAACAGAAAAUUUCACUUUUAUGAAACUGACGUAGAGAAUCAUGCAUCCACAGAACAGAUGCAUCAUCUAUCUACCGGGCAAGAGAAGAUGCGAAGACUGCAAGCAAGUCCUCGACUGUGUCUUGAACCUCUCUGGUUGCAUGUCGCAGACUCACAUGUAUGUCCUGGUGACGCAUGCGUUAUGCGAGGCUCUCGAAACUUGUCCCAAAUUCUCAUCUAGAUCAAUAUUUUUUAGAAAGAGGUCGAAGAAGGUUACUGGAAGCAUGAAGGAAGAAUUUUUCAUGAGAAUUUUGAUGCGUGCAUGCCUUAAUAGCUUACUGUUAUAGAAGAGCUUUCUGUUUUUUUUUCCGAUGGAAACAGGAGGGGUGAUCCCCCUACUGAAUUUAUUGCAAAAGAAAAAUGAAGUCGGAAAAUACAAUACAAAUCAAAUACAAAUCAGGAACAAAGGCCUAAAAGGAAAAGCGACUACAGAAUUGAGAAGAAAAAUAAAUUUAAGAAAGAUCAGAGCAUCAGGGAGACUGUUGACAAAGUGAUUACAAUGAGGAUAACCAGUCGGCAAUGGAAGGACCAAAGGGGGGUCUCGCUCUGUGAGAGGAGAUCAAAGAGAGUUCUGUGAUGAACAUCCUCUUGCAGGCCUCGACUGAAGGUGGAGUGCCAUUGAAGGUCCAGUUGUUUCUGCAUGCCCAAAUACUUGCAGACAUGAGAAUAAUGAUUUUCAUAAAAAAAGUACCGCCAGCCUUUGCUUGAUUGAAUUGAGAAUCUGUAGUGUUGGUCUCGUUGUGGCUACUGAGGCCCCUAUGGAUGCCCAACAAGCUUUGGCAAAGUUACAGCGCAGGAACAGGUGGGCUACCGUUUCUCUUUUCUGUAGAAUGCACAUCUCACAGGUGUAUGAGUCAAGGUACAUGUUCUUCCGUCCUAGGAUAUCUUUGGUACUUAAGCGAUCCUUGACGAGGAGCCAAAAGAACACUUCGUGUUUCAUUUGGCAGCGAGAUUUCCAUAUCCAUUUGAUUACUGGGUAGACAGUCCUUGUUCCCGUGAUAUGUUUAUAAAUUUUGGAUACUAAGAAGAAGCCAUUACCCCAGAUGUAGGACCAUUGGUCCUUGUCGUCUGAUAGGUUGGUAUGUCGUACUCUGUCACUAAGAAUUUGGAACUGCUGGUAAGCCUGGUCAGACAAGGGUAGCAUGAAAUUGUGAAAGAAAUUUGGUUUCUGAAGAGUUGCCCGAACUAUUAUCCAUUUGUUGGAAGCAAAUGAUAAAACUCCAGGGAAUUCCUGAGAUGGGAUAUUUUCAUCCAAAGAUCGGACCAGAAAAGAAUUGAAGAUCCAUUGCCAGUCUGGGCUGAGGCCAUACCUUCGAAUUUGUCUAGCAGUUUGAUGAUAUCUCUCCACCAGAAAAAACCUUUUUUGUGUUGGCUAGGUAACUUUCCAUUUAUAUAAUAGUUCUCCCAGAUGAGGUUGACCCAUGGUAUGUCUGCUUUGUUGAAGAAUUUGUGGAGGAAUUUCAGUAAAAGAGCCUCAUUUUGAUUGUUCAAAUUGAUAACUCCAAAGCCCCCUUCCUUUUUGGGUAUACACACCAUAGGCUAGGCUGCUUUAGCAGGUUUGUUUGAAUUAAGGUAUGGUCCCCUCCAUAGACAGUGUUUCCUAUAUUUGUCUAGCUGUUUAAUUACUCCCUUGGGCAACUUGAUGGUGGACAUGUGAAACAUUGCAGUGGAGGAAAAAACUGUGUUGACCAUCUCGAGCUUGCCCCCUUGGCUUAAGAAUAGAGAUGUUCCUCCUAACCUUUUUUCCACUCUUUGGACUAGAGGUAGAAAAUCCUCAAUAUUGGGUUUAGAUGUCCCUAGUGGCAGACCCAGGUAGGUGAAUGUUAGGGACCCUUUCUGACAAUCCAAAAUUGAUGCUAAAUGUGGUAGCUUGUCUUCAGUGAUAUUAAGUGGUAGCAUGAUCGAUUUAUUAUAGUUUACCUUCAGCCAAGUUGAUUGCGCAAAAGAAUGAAGGAGUCCCUUGAGAUGUUCCAUUUGAUCAGGACAUGCUUUCAUUAUCAAAAGAGUAUCAUCUCCAUACUGUAUAAUAGGAAAAUCAGCCCUAGCUCGUUCAGGUAUUGGAAGAUGUAGGAGACCUUGGUCUUUGGCUCUAUUAAUAAUUGAUUGUAGGAGGUCAGCCGCUAGAACAAAGAGUAGGAGAGAGAGAGGAUCCCCUUGUCUUACUCCCCUCCUACAGUGAAAAACCUUUUUCGGCACUCCAUUUAGAAGAAUGGAUGAGGUUCCUGUGCUCAAUAUUGCUUUAAUCCAGCGUAUCCAUCUAUCACCAAAGCCCUUGUGCUUUAAGAUGUCUAAGAUUGCCUGGUGUUCAAUCUUAUCAAAUGCCUUCUCAAAGUCAAGCUUUAGAGUGACUAAUUCCUUUUUGGAGGCUGUGCAGAUAUGUAGGUAUUCAAAGGCCCAGGCUAGACAGUCUUGAAUGGAUCUAGUCUUAAUGAACCCAUAUUGAUUCUUGUGAAUCAAUCUUAGGAUGACCUGCUGAAGUCUUUCAGCUAGGAUCUUGGUGAUCGGUUUGAUUGAGGAAUUAAGUAGGGAUAUGGGUUUGUAGUCAUUCACAGUUUCUGGGCAGUCCUUUUUGGGGAUUAAGGUGACAUAUGAACCAUUUAUGCUCUAGACACAGAUUGUCCCAUUGAAAAAACCUUCACACAGGUCAUAAAAAUCUUGGGAUAUAGGGCUCUAGGAUUUUUUUCAGAAACUCACCAUUGAAACCAUUUGGUCCCGGGGAUUUGUUGUUGGGAAGUUCAGCCACAAUUCUAUCUGUUUCCUCUUUGGUAAUCUGUUGCUCUAGCCAAUCUAGAUCAGGGUCUAGUUGUAGGAGGGAUUGUAGGUCUAGAUACAUGUGAGUAAAAUCAAAUCUUCCCAUUCUUUCUUUGAAGGCCUCCCAUAGAAUGUUAGCUUUGAGUUCAUGUUGCAUGUGUUGUUGGCCAAGGUUGUCCCUUAGAGAGGUUAUGGUGUUCCUCCUGUUUCUGAUAGAGGCAUUAGCUUUAAAGAAUGUUGUGCAUUCAUCUCCAAGUUUGACCCAGUUGAUCUUGCCCCGUUUCUUCCAGUAGACUUUCUGUUGAUGGAGAAGAUUGUGGAGGUGUUGCUGCAAGAUAUUCCUAAAGUUCCAUUCCUGCAACUCUAGAUCUCUGAAUUCCUCAAUAACAUUUAGGAAGUGUAGGAGGUCUUUGCAGGUUUGUAUAGUUUGUGCCAGACUAGGGAGAUUUGACUUCCAAUUCUUGAAUACCUGUUGAAGAUUCGCACUAACCUGUUUGGCUUUAUCCUCAGAAGUUGUUUGGGAGGACCAUCCUUGGAGGAGGACCUCCUGGAAGUUGUCAUGGAGCAGCCAAAAGUUCUCAAAUUUGAAGGAUUCUGAUUUGGGGAUGAUGGUAGAAGCUGAGAUAACACAAGGUGUAUGGUCUGAUGUGUCUCUUGACAGCCCGUUAGCUAUGGUGUUUGGGAGGGAGGAGGUCCAUGCCGUGGAAGUGAAAAACCAAUCCAGUCAUUCUAGCAGAGGAUUUUGCUAUUUAUUUGUCCAGGUGUAUUUGCAUCCUUUAAGGGGUAUUUCUGUUAAUCUAAGGCUACUAAUCGCCUCAUUGAAAUGUAACAUGUCUUGAAUGUUUGCACCGGGCUUGUUUCUAUCACUUGGUUUUCUGAUGAGAUUAAAAUCUCCCACAAUCAGCCAUUUUAGAUCAUCCGGCAUUGAGAUUUGCUUGAACUAGUUGAGGAAGUCAAGUUUCUUUUCAGGUGUGCAGGGGUUAUGGAUAUUAGUAAGGAUCCAUUGCUCCCCUGAAAGGAGGCACUGCAAUUCCACUGAUUGGCUGAAAGAGUUCUGAAAGAUUAGUUCCCCUUGAAAUUUUGAUGAGUCCCAUAUAAUUAUAGAUCCCCCUAAAGCUCACAAUGAUGGAAGGAAUUGAAAGGAAUCUAGGCGUGAAGGAUAGAAGUUUUUGAGAUAUGCUGCAUCAAAAAAUUCUUUCUUUGUUUCUUGUAGACAGACUAUGUCACAUUUACCUUCAGUGAUUUUGCUUCUUAUGGCAUUCCAUUUAUUAUUUGAAUUUAUCCCCCGAAUGUUCCAAGAAAGAAUAGAUCAAUUUCUCUUGUUGCUAUUAGAAUUCAUCAAUUAAAUUGUCAGAAUGGGGGGGGGGACUUGAAGCAAUAUGCACAGCAUAGAGCAAAAGCAACAAUUAUUCAAUUCAAACCAUUUCAGACAUUGCCAAUGGCCGAUUUGCCAGCAAGAUAAUUGUAACCACAAAAUAUAGUCUGGACCAGAGAAACACAACCAAAAUAAAGUUCUGAACAACAACCAAACAUCCAUGAGGUAAACAGUCAUAAAGAGUUCGGGAAGGAUAUGAACCAUCCAAUAACUUGGUUAUGAGGCUAAGAAAAACACAUCACUAAGAGCCUUCCAUCAGAUCUUGGUCUUCUUGCUCCCUUCAAGGGUAUCUUCUUCAUCAACAAAACAUUUCUUCUUCUUGCCCUUGUCCUUCUUGGUUGGGCUGUUCUUGGUGGAGGUCGAGUAGUCACCUAUGGGAGUGAAGCGUCUAUUCUUGGUGAGGAGAGAGCCUUCUGACAGCUUAGUGGGGUCAAUCUUGCAGAUUUUCUAUCCUAGGGCCUUCAUGUUUGAAGUUGAGAUGGCAGUUGGAGUGAUGGAGCAUGCAAAGCAAUUCUUAUUAGCAUAAGCACUUUGUUUGAAACCUGCAUUCCUAUCUUUGAUUCUUGGGCUUCUUCUUACUGCAGGCUCAACUUCUGGUGUAAAAGCGGGGCCCCUCUUGAUUCUAGCCUUUCUUAUGGGGGGAUCCUCUUCUGGUUCAUCAGAGCAGUCCUUGAGAAGUGGGGAGCUUUCCAUACCCUCCUGCUGAUAUGUGCACAUGACCUGAGUAUCAGCUGGGCAUUGGGAAGGGAGGGUGAAGGACAUCAUAGAUGAAGUUGGUGAGCAUUCCAGCAUGGCCUUCCAGGCAUGGGAGAAGAGAAAAGACUUGGCCCAAGUGAAGUGUGCCGGGGAGAGCAACAUCACCACAAAGAAUGCAGCUCAGUCACUUGGGAUAUGAACCACUUGCUCUAGGCAGCGCAUAGGUGAGAAGUGCUUGGCCCACAGUCUAUAGAGGUCUAGCUUCGGGGUGGUUGGUCUAACCAAUUUGCCAAAAAAAUCAUCAAACCCUGGGUCUCUUUGUGGCAUGAUGGCUAGUGCCAUGUUAACAUUGAUAUUAUUCCCUGGGUUUUGCUGGAGAGGUUUAGCUAGUCCCAUUGCCUGGUCCACAUCCAUCUGUUGAGGAAGCACUAUCUCUGGCAACUGUUGUUCUGGUGCUUGUACAUUAUCUGGUUGGGGAGCUUGCAGUGCAUUUGGCCCAUGGGGUUCCUGCACAAUCUGACCAUUAGGGUGAUGAAUCAAAACAUCAGGUGCCAGUGUAGGGGUAGGGAGAGCCAGUACCGCUUGCUGGAUCUGGGCCUCUGGAAGGUUGUUCUCAUGCUCUUCUUGGAUCAGUUCCUGUUGCAAAUCCCUGAAGGGACUAUCCAUGUCAAUGUUGCUGGAGGGUUGUAGAGGUGGUGAGAGGUUGAAGUGGAGGUCAAGCUCAUCCUGUUGCACCUCUUUCUCCUGAUUUCCCUCCUGAGCAGGCAAGAUAUCUACUGGGUCUGGUAUGAUACCCCCAAAUGCUCCCUCAGCUAGAUUAUCAUUUAGAUCCGGAAUGCCAUGCUGUUGCUCAAUGUGCGGUGGUCCUGGAGGAGGGAAUGGUGGUAGGUGUUGUGCCGAUAGGCCAUGCUGAUCGAAGCCAGAGGGAACACAAAGCCACCAUCCUCAAAUUCCCCUGGUGGAAUAUCCUCAUCCUGCAACAUUCCAUCUAGCAGAUUUUGUUAGAUGAUUUCACAUUGUACAGUUAAAGAGACCUCCUCAAAAUCAUCACCUUCCAACAGGAUUAAGUAGUGGGGUACAUCAACUAAAUCUGUCACUCUUGCCUUGAUUAUGAUUCUGGUUAAUAUGUUAUCACGCUGCCAUAAGAUAAGCCUGCCAAAUGAUUUAAUAGCAUCCUUGAUCUUAGCGGUUGAUCUAUAAUCUGGUGGAUACUCAAUCAACAUCAGCCAACACUUGCGAUUAAAGUUUAUUCUUCUCGCAUUAGCACCUCUAUUGUGGAAGACAAAAGAGAACCCCAAGUCGUGGUGGAAGUGAGGACUAUGAUAAACAAGAGCAUCUCUGUCUGAUGGCCUCUCCAUCCGGACGUAGGUCUGUCCUCGCCCAAAAGGACACCUCUGGACCUCGCGCACCCCUAACCUAUAUUCCUCAACCAGAAGGUCCAGAAUGCGAUUGCGGAGAUCACCAAAGAGAAUCUCACCAGGGGGCAGGUUGGAUAUGGAGACGAUGGCUAGGUCUUCAUUUCUGGGGUGGGUUCUUUGGGUCACCACUCGUGCGAACUGCUAUCUUCCUUAGACCAAAACAUGCUCGAAUCCCGCUAGCAUCAUGGGUUCAGGAUCGAUAUUCAGAAACGCCAUUGCCGAUGAUGAAGGAAGAGGAUUGCAGGUGGAGGUGGAGGAGAGGCCGAAUGUAGUUAUGCUUUCUUGAUGCAAAUGGGGAAGAGUUGCAAUGGGGUUUUCUCGCAGUGACUGGGGAGGAGGCACCGAAGCAAGUGAAGGGGUGUCUCUUCCAAUUCCCCAGGGAACUCUGAUAGCCUCUGUAAGCAUAGGCAAUUGCAGUGCAUGCUUGUUGGGCCCAUCAGUAAGAGACAUGGGGGUCUUGAACCAGGUGCGGAUGGCUUCCUCAGACCAAAAGGUGGUUGGAAUCACUAAGGAGAAGUUGCACGAACAGGAGGAUUGACACUAUUUAAUGAAGUGUUGGAGACUGUGAAAAAGGUUGCAAUCAUGAAGUAUAUGCCCUUUCCGCUUGCAGUGCCAACAUCUGACAUUUUGGCGGCUAAACCUCGGGUAGUUGGGGGUUAGGCCCCGAGAAGGAGGACUGUCAAAACCUGCAACAGGAAAAGGUCUCGGCAGAGUUGGGCCACAUGACCCAUUAGCCAGAGGAGCCCGUUGACCAUCUUGAACCCGAGAUGAAUUUGAAUUUUGAAAUUGCAGUCUCCGGAAAACCGAAUGCCUUGGAGAAGAAAUCCUUUAGAAAAUCGAAAUGCGCUUGUCUCUGCAGGGAACCUGAUGAACAGGAAUGCCGGAAGAAGAAGAGCUGGUGGAACGCCAGCCCAAAGGCACAGUAUUUGCCCCAGAAAGAGGAGCCAAUGUUGUUCUUACUGCAUCAGAGUAAGUGUGCCUAUUCUUGAUGGAGAGGGAAGAGCCUCUCCGAGGGAAAGUACCAGAAGCCAGAAUAGGUAGCCAAUUUGUCACUUGAGAGGUGUUCUUGCUUCUUUUGGGGGGUACUUGUUGCCAUUGAUAAGUUGGGCCUAAAUCCCGUUUCGAAAAAAUCCUGGCCUUGCCAAGACCCGAGCUAUUGUAUGGAAAGAAAUCCAAAUUGAAAUCCUCACAAGACAAUGGAGAAGAGCCAAGAAUCAUAUAGGCCUCCUUUUUUGAAGGAAUUGAAAACCUCAAAACCUGUUGAUCCAAUUUGUAGACAGAGUAGAUCUUCACAUAAUCCUUUAGAACGAAUUGGAGGCAAUCAACAACAGAGGAGUCCGUGAGCUUGAAGCGGUUCCGGCUGAAUGAUACCAGCAAGUGAAAGACCGAUCUUGCUGGCUUCCAAAGCGGGGGUGGGAGUCGGCCCGAAGCAUUACGAGUAGCAGGAGAAGAUUCCAAGGGAGAACGAGAGGCCAUCUUGUUGAAGACGUUGAAAGAGGUGAGGGGAGGCAUACCGUGCUUCCGGAAGAUGGCAGUGGAAAGUAGAACUCCAGUAGGGGAUCUUCUUGGGCGUUAAACCCAAACAUGCUAGAGCUGUAGUGGGGAGCCAUGGCCAAGAGGACGAGGAGAGGAUCAUCGGUGAAGAUGCAGACGAGCCAUAUCCAGGAGGGUCUGGGGGUGGACACUAGGGUCGGAGUGGCCACUGGCGGUGGAGGGGGUGGAGGCAUAGGGGAGUCCUCAGCUCUGCAGCACCUAGGAUUGUGCCUGUUCUAGGAUUGUGCCUGUUUGUUGUGGCCUUGAGAGUUUAGAAGCUUUCUGUUAGGGGUAGUGAUUCUCUUCAGGAUCAUCAAAACAACGAAUAUACUAAAUUUAGUUCACUGGAUCUCUGAAUGAACUACGGCACCUCCGAAUCCUGUAUUUAUGGAGUAGGGAAAAUAGGAAGCAGCCCAGCAUAUUUACACAUCUUAUUACCCUCCAUGUUGUUAAAAGUUUACACAUCUUAGUCCUCACAGCGUCAACAAUGACGGAUCUCCUUCGUGACAUCGUCAAAGAACUACAAGCUGAAUUCGCCAUGAAAGAUCUCAGUGCGCUCCAAUGUCACUCGUACAGUGAAGGGCUUCUUCUUAUCAUAUAUAUAUCUAUAUACUAUAUAUUGUAUAUAAUAUCCUGGUAUGGAAUAGGCUAUUCCGUACCCGACUGAUCCAUGGAUCUGACUCGCACCUUCCCCGCUAGUCUUUUUCUCUCCCGCUUCCCCCAUUUUUUUCCGACUUUUUCCUAUGAACGCAUGCCUUCGGUUGUGGGUGCUCCGUUCAGUUCCCGUAGUGGACCCCGCAGCUCACCAUUCGCUGCCGCCGUCUCUCGCCAACCCCGGUCGCUGCCGCCACUCCACAACAGCCUCCCAGUGCUGUUCCCCUUCCCGAUCCUCAUUGCGUUCUUGCUACCGCUCCGCAUCCGCAGCCGCCGUCUCCUCUCCCCAUCCGUAGCCACCGCCGCCUCUCCCCAUCCGUAGCUGCCGCCGCCACUCGCCAUCGGAACCGGCCGCCUACAAUCGCCAUCCACAGCCGCCGUCGCGUAGCGGAAGCCGCGGCUCGCCAUUCGCUGCCGCCGCCGCUGCUCGACAACCGCCACUGCAUGAUUCCGUUUGCGUUUGGAUUCCUCGUCCUUGGACAACGACGAGCGGCCACGCCGCUCGGCGCCCGCCGCCGAGGUCAAGCCCUCCUUCUCCGACUCUGCAGCCGCGGCAGCCUCCGAGACUAAGGCCAAGGUGUUCCGCCUCUUCGGCCACGAGCAGCCAUCCACAAGGCCCUCGGAGGAGGCAAACGUGAGGCUCUGCUUCAUGCUCUGAAUCACGUUGUUUUUUUUAUGGUUUUGAUUUGAAAUCGGUAGAUCGGAUCUGGUUGCGUGGGAUCUGGACGGGAUUGAAGCCUUGGGUUGCAGGUUAGAUCUGAUAGGUUUAUGCCUUGGAUUCAAUGCAGCUUGAUUGCAUAGUGGUACACGAUCUGAUCUGUUGAGCUUGUUUGAAACUAGCCUUCCAAUAUUUUUUCAAUUGUCUGGUAACAAUAGAAUUCUAUUGCCUAUUGCAUUUGCAAUUGCUUACAUAGAUGAUGAGGAUCCCUUGCUUAUGAAUGCUUUGUCGUUUGGGCCAGUGCAUUUUGGAGGUGUUAUAUGUUCUUUUAUGGGGGUUAAUAUUGUUGGGGUCUUUUGGUUCUUUGCAUUAAGAUGCUGACAAAUUGAAGUUUCUUACGAAAAGAAUCGAUCAACUGCUUUAUUUCACAUUGUGUUUGUCUAAAACAUAAGGCCUUGCCUUAGAUAGGUUGCGAUACUAUCUUAUUGCACUGCGUCUUUGCACCUGAUUGCAUAUUUACUUAAAUGACAACCAGAGCACUCUUUGCUUGCAAACAUUUUUCUUUGUCAAGUUAAUUGUCUGUUGAUUGAGGUAUAAUGGGAAUUGUUUGACCUGAUUUCCUUAUUAUCUACUAUUAUACCUGCCAUAUUCAUAUUCAUUGCUGUUCUUUAUUUUGCAGCUGCUGAUGUAUUGCUGUGGAGGAACAGGAACAUCUCUGCUGAAGUACUUGGUGGUGUCACUGCAAUCUGGAUCCUCUUUGAAUGCCUUGGCUACCAUCUUCUGACCUUCGUUUGCCAUGGUCUCAUAUUCUCUCUGGGUGUUCUCUUUCUCUGGUCUAAUGCCUCCUCGUUCAUCAACAAGUAAGAUUUCAGCUUAUUGUGAUAUACUGCACAGACUUAAAAGGAUACAAAGUUUGUUCAUUGCAAGUUACAUGGAUAUAGAAUUAGGGGGUGUUUGGAUAUGAGGUGCUAAACUUUAACAGUGUCACAUCGGAUGUUCGGAUGCUAAUUAGGAGAACUAAACAUGAGCUAAUUAUAAAACUAAUUGCAGAAUCAUGUGCUAAUUCGCGAUACGAAUCUAUUAAGCCUAAUUAAUUCAUCAUUAGCAAUUGGUUAUUGUAGGACCGCAUUGUCAAAUCAUGGACUAAUUAGGCUUAAUAGAUUCGUCUCGCGAAUUAUACUCCAUAUGUACAAUUAGUUUUGUAAUUAGUUUAUAUUUAAUACUCCUAAUUAGCAUCCAAACAUCCGAUGUGAUGGGUGUUAAACUUUAACACCCUGUAGCCAAACAGCCCCUUAGUUAAUGAUGUGAAAUCCUGCCCUUUAUUUCAGGUCUCCCACAUGGAUCCCAGAGGUGAUCAUUCCUGAAGAUCUGGUUGUCAACAUUGCACUAUCUACUCGCUAUGAGAUCAACAGGGCCUUUGUCAAUCUUCGCCAGAUUGCUCUUGGCCGGGACAUAAAGAAGUUCCUUAUGGUACGUCUACUAUGUGAUUGCCUGUGCUGAUCACUGGUACAUGCUUUUUCUUUCCUGUAGCUACUGUAUGUAUGCCUUUUAGGAUUAUCUCGUAUGAAUGCAAAAAUACCCUAUUAUCUCGUAUGAAUGCAAACGUACCCUAUUUCCUGUAGCUUUAGAAACGUUGGACAUUAUUCCUUCUUGACAAGGUUAUAUGCAGUUUUGAGCUCUUUCGUAAAAUUGGAGAUUAUUCCUGAACUUUGCACUGCUCAUUUUUCUUCAAAAACUUAAGCAGAGGCGAGCUUAAUUGCCUAGUAAAGCCAGCCCGUCUGCCUGUGUUUAUAAUUUUAUAUCCAUAAGAAUGCUACUGAUUUCUCAGAGCUAUAUGUCAUGCCAGUGUAUUAUCAGUUUGUCUUUAUCUUUGCUCCAAAUCAAUGCCAUCACUGUUGUUUCUCGAAUACUGGAAAUACUCAUUGGUGCAGAGACAAAUUUUAUUUUAUUUUGAAUCAGGAUGCCGCAGCAGGUGGCAGUACCAUGGAGAUGAGGAUGCGGAACGGUGGGUGUUCGCAGGGACGUACGCGGAUGAGCUCUUUGAAAAAAGAGGUCAGUGAAUCUGGGUUCCUCCCAAUGGUCGCAAGCGAUGAUCCUCUCUUAAUCACUAUAUAUGCUGCACCUAUCACACAUGCCUUUAUCUGUGACUACGAAACUAGCUGACUCAAUGCUGCAAUGGAUAGAAUGAAGAUUUUAUAUUCCCACGAGCCACAUUGCAUAAAUUUGCAAGGUAAUGUUGACUAAAUUCUGUUCAAACAUGAACCAAGAUUUGAAAGGUUAUAACUCUUUUGCUCCUAUAAUUUUGUAGGCAUCCAUGCUUUGGAGAAGAAGGUUGACUGCACUAGCUUCUGAAUUCCCUGACAUUGAACUCAUGUUACUUGCAGUUGGUUCAGCAUGGAGUUUACAACCAAGGGAUGGGCUACAUUCAACCACAGGUUAUGUAUCGUACUUUUAUUUGUUAGUGAAACAGUGCUAUAGUAAAUCUCUGAUACUAAACAUGUCACAAAAUUUCAAACACUACAUUUUUUCACUGGCAAUUUUCUCCCUGUACACAAUCAGUAUCACAAUGGGGAUACCUGAAGGGCAAAAGCUGAAGACAGAAGCAAUUUAUGGUAAUCUUAUUGUUCCCUGAAUCCUUUUCUUUUGUUAGAGAUUCUGUACACAGAUAAUUUGCCACAUUAGUGCAUUUUUAUUUUCAUGAUAAACACAAAUUUGCUACCUCUCCCUCUUAAAAUCUGUAUCUGUUUAUCAAGGGAACCUAAGAUGCAUAUUAUUUAAGCUCCACAGCAUGGCUCCUGCUUUUUUUUUUUGUUCUGACAAUUGCUUCAUUCUCUCCUGUGGACUCCGGUGAGCUAGGGAAGUCUCUACAUUGCUUCCGUGUUUAUUGGGAGAAAACUGAAGGCACCUAGAAAGGGUGUUUUAACUUUUUGCUAUGGCUACCUCUCAGAUGUAAAUUGGCUUCCAGGAGAAUAGUUCACCUAUAAUGGUUUAGGGCUUGCUUUUGUCUGUAUAUUCAGAAUGAUUUGACCGUUGCUAUUUUGACAGCCUUUUACAUUCACAUAUCUGUAUUAUGAAGCAUAAAUAUAAUGUUAGUCCUGCUUGGUUGUCUCUCUCUUUUUUCUCUUUGCACCAUUUUUAUGCACAUAGAUAAUUUUAUGAUCCAUCUAUUCAUAUUCUUGUUAAAAAAUUUCAUGCAGUUUUGGGUACAUUGAGUUUACACAAGGAGUGCAAUGGGGACUCCUCUCAUCCAGGGGGAGCUGCUAGACUAUCAAUAGCCAUCGGUGUCUACAUUAUGUUCUACGAGUACUUUUGUUUUCAUUUCUUAGCAAUGUAAUCGCCCAUGUGUAACUGUAUGUUCCAAACUCUUUCUCUUAAAGGAAAAGCAGUGCCUCUGCCAAUGUUUUGAAAAAACUGUGGAGCACCCUCCUGGAGUCCUUCCCAGUACAAUGCAAUCUUGUCCUAUCAUGCUCGUGGGCACUUUGAUUUUGCAAUCUUCAUCUGUUGAAUGCUAAAAAUUUCUCAGUGGAGGUUCUUAUAUGUUGGACAUGUCGUGUCACAAUAAUUUCAACAUGAGCUGGCAAUCACAAAAUCAUUGUAUUCAAAUAGCAAUAUGUUUUUAGUUGAAUUAAUUGUCAGUGAAGCUGGGCAACAUAUGCUCACUCGGAAAAGGGUUUGAGCAGAUGACAGUUGGUGCGGGAAGGUUAUAUAGUAUCCAAGCUAGUUGUAUGGUCAGCUGGCUGAUUUGUUUAUUGGUUUGAACCCAACGAAUUGUUUAAAAGUUUAUGCAUCUGGCAUUGCUCAUCCACGAGACAGAAUUCUGAAGCUGGGAUUCGCUCAGAUAUAUAUGCUCGCUACCGGAAACAGGAAGUUUGCCGAGUGCCUGAGGCACUCGGCAAAGGCCCAAAAACAUUCGGCGAACCUUCCCACGGCAAACGGUGCAGUUGCCGAGUGUCGGACAUCGGGCACUCGGCAAAUGAUUUGCCGAGUGUCAAAAAGCACUCGACAAACAUUUUCGGAAAAAAAAACAGAAACACCGGCCACGGCCACGGCCACCACGCCGCCACCGGCCGCCACGCCCGCUGCCGCCCGCCACCACGCCGCCUCGCCCGCUGCCGCCCGCCACCACGCCGCCUCGCCCGCUGCCGGAUCCGCGCCAGAUCCGGAGGGGAGAGAGCUGGGGGCCACCGGAUCCGCGUCGGAGGAUAAGAAGGGGGCGCGGAUCCGGCCGGAGGGGAGGGAGCCGGGGAAGGAUAGGCCGGAUCCGGAGGGGAAGAAGGGGACGGCGGCGGGCGGAGGUGGGGGCGGGGGCGGGGGCCGGGCGCCGGGCGGCGGGCGGGGCCGCCGGGCGGCGGGUGGGGCCGGGCGGUGGGGGCGGGGGCCGGGCGCCGAGCGGCGGCGGGCGCUGGGCGGCGGGCGGCGGCGGCAGGAGAGAGGAAGAGGUGGGGGAUGGGUGGGGGUACUAGUGGUGGAGGAAUGAAGGAGAUGGAGGGGCCGGGUGCGGUGCCGGGACUAAUUAACUCCUGCGUGGUUGGGGAAAAAAAGGUCGCCAAGUGUCCUAGGUGUGACACUCGGUGAAGGGUUGUUUGCCGAGUGUCUAAACUAGGACACUUGGCAAAGCUAUUUAAAAAAAAUUAAAAAAUAUCCAACAGUUUCAAAAAAUUGUCAAAAAUUUACAUGAAAUAAUAUAUAUUCUCUAUUGCCUAUACAAAAAGUUUUGUAGUCAAAUCAAAACUCGACCGUCAUUUUGACUCCAAAUCUUAUGCAAUCCUUCUCAACGUUACUAUUCUUCUUCUGAAAUGCUUCGGUUUGUAAACAUCGUACAUGAUGAAAUGUGCAAAACAUUCUCAAUUUUUUUCCACAGCCUCCACGUAUAAUAUCAUCACAUCAUGAUAAAUCUCAUGAUUUUCAGACUUUGCUUGUUUUUUUAUAAUUUAAAAAUACCACUGCCACACGUUCGUGGUCGUGUUUCCUGAACAAGAUGUUCGAAAUUUCUUGUCAUUUCAUGAUCAGGUCUCAAAUUGGGCCAAAUAACAUGAAUAUCAUUGUUCUACUCAUUUUAUUCUAUAAUUUGAAUCACUUGCGGUUCAAAUUUGACUUAUACCAAAAAUUUUCUUGAAAUACAAUUAAUUAAAUAAAUAUAGCAAACAAAUUCAAAAAUAUACUAAACUUUAACAUUGAGUACCACAUGUUGUAUGUGGGGAGUAGAAAAAAUUUCAAGGUGGAAAGAGGAAAAAAAAUUGUUGUUUUGCCGAGUGUCAAAAAAAACACUCGGCAAACCCCACUCUUUGCCGAGUGUUUUUUUUUUGACACUCGGCAAACCCACUCUUUGCCGAGUGUUUUUUUUUUGACACUCGGCAAACCCACUCUUUGCCGAGUUUUUUUUUGACACUCGGCAAAGUCGCACGUUUGCCGAGUGUUUUUUUUUUUUUGCCGAGUGUUUUUAGCCCGGCACUCGGCAAAGAGCUUGUUUGCCGUGUGUCCGAAAAAAAACACUCGGCAAAAAAAAUACUCGGCAAAUUUAAGGUUUCCGGUAGUGGCUAGUGCACAGCUGCAGCUGCUGAGGGCGACCGGAAAACCAAGAGCUGCUGCGGAGGGUCGUCCAUCAGGAUCAGGAUUAGGAUUAGACCAAUUUGUGUUGCUUGCUUAUGCAAUAAUCAUCAAGCUAACCCCAAGCCAGCCAGCCAGCAAACCUCAUCAGCAUCAGUCGCUGUAUCAAGUUGUUAUUAAUGGUAUGGACCAGCACUAGAAGUAUUCACAAUCAUGAUGACGAAAACCCCUAUCAAUCUUCAUCUGCUACUAGCAGACAGACAACUCAAUCAUUCCAAACCCCAACCGGAUUUCCUGACUUUUCAGCGCAACUACACAACAUCGAUCUUGCAUACCCAGCAGCAGGCAGAAGCAAAUAAAAAGGUCCACAAGCUUACCAUUACAACUCAACACUUCUUCUCAUGUUGAUUGCUUCCCAUUUGGACUAUAAAGCCAUUUUCAGGACAAAACAAGACUUGAAUCAACAGCUACUAGCUGUGCUUAUCACAUCAAGACAUUGCAUCUACCUGCUCUAAUCACUGCUAUGCUUGUCAAAUAGAUUGAACACGGUUGCCCAUCUUGGCUUGCCGUGAUUGCAUGUUUAUAUAGGGAUAAAGUCCCAACACAUUACAAUAUAUGUAGUUACAGAUAGAGUUUAGCCAGCAUUCAAAUACAUCAAGAUUCUAUCUCUAUCUCUAGCAGGCCAGCUCAAAUCAUAACAACUCUUAUCUCUAAGUUACAGUCCUCGUCUCAUACGAUGAUUCUUCUAACAGCCCCUCUCAAUCUAAAUUUCUCUUCCUUUUGAGAUUUAGAUUGCUCUUGAAAGCUUCCAGCAACCCGUACGGCAGGGCCUUAGUAAAACCAUCCGCAAGCUGAUCUCUGGAAGCAACUAACUGCACCUGCAACUGCUUACUAACCACACGCUCGCGAACAAAGUGAAAAUCAAUUUCUAUAUGCUUUGCUCUUGCAUGGAAGACUAGAUUGGCAGACAAAUAUGUAGCUUCCAAAUUGUCACACCAUAAACACGGUGGUUGAUGCAGCCGUAUACCCAGCUCUUUUAGCAGGGAUUCCAACCAUAUUAAUUCUGCAGUUGCAUUUGCUAUAAACUUGUAUUCAGCUUCUGUACUCAAUCUUGAGAUAGUGGCUUGCUUUCUAGCACUCCAAGAAAUCAAGUUUGGACCAAAAAAGACUGCAAACCCUCUAGUAGAUCUUUUAUCAUCAACACUUCCUGCCCAAUCAGCAUCAGAGAAAGCACUAACCAAUGUGGAGGAUGACGCCUGGAAAUUUAGUCCAAGAUCCAAUGUUAACUUGACAUACCGAAGUAUUAUUUUUACCGCAGUCCAAUAAACCGUGGUAGGAGCAUGCAGAAAUUGACACACUUUAUUUACAGAAAAUACUAGAUCCGGUCGGGUAAGAGUGAGAUAUUGCAAUGCACCGACGACGCUUCUGUACCUUGUACUGUCGUCUGAAUUUAGCAACUCCCCUUCAUGUUUUGAAAGUUUCUCACUAGUAGACAGUGGUGUAGACAACGGUUUGCAAUUUUCCAUACCAACCCGUGAUAGGAUCUCCUUUGCAUACUUCUCUUGUGUUAGCAACAUAGUAUUCUUAUCUCUUUUAACUUCAAUACCCAGGAAAAAACUGAGGUCCCCCAGAUCUUUUAGAGCAAAAUCCUUCUUGAGAUCAGCAAGCAAUGCGGUAACAGCAUCACUCGACGAACUUGUUACAAUUAUAUCAUCAACAUAAACCAACAUGUAAAUUAUGACACCCAACUUUUGAUAGAUGAACAAUGAGGUGUCUGAUCUAGACGCAACAAAUCCAAGUGCAAUAAGUUUGGAACUUAACUUAGCAUACCAAGCUCGCGGGGCUUGUUUCAAGCCGUAGAUAGCCUUGUCCAAUUUGCACACAAGAUGUGAAGCUCCUUUUUCAAAUCCUGGAGGUUGCCUCAUAUAAACUUCUUCUUCCAGAACGCCAUGAAGAAACGCAUUCUGCACAUCUAAUUGUCUAAGACACCACCCUUUUGAAAUAGCAAUUGAAAGAACAAGCCUGACAGUUGCAAUUUUAACCACUCGGCUGAAUGUAUCUUCAUAAUCAAUGUUGUACCGUUGCCGAAAACCCUUAGCAACUAGCCUUGCUUUAUAUCUGUCAAUAGUACCAUUUGAUUUUUUCUUGAUUUUAAAUACACAUUUGCAAUCAAUAAUAUUAUUGCCCUUUGUUUCAGGAACUAAAUGCCAAGUGCGAUUUCUAAUGAGAGCAUCAAAUUCAUCUUGCAUUGCGGCUUUCCAUCUAAGAUCACCAAGAGCUUCACGAAAAUCACAUGGUUCCCCAGAAGCUUGAGAAAAGCCCGUACCUAAUCAUAUCCUUGAACUGUUUUGGUUUAGUGAUUCCGCUUUGAAGCCACAUUCAUCGUCUUGAUGGUGAAUCAACAGGUACAGCCACAUCUGAUGGAGCAGCUGCCCCAGAACCAGCAGCCACGGAAGAUCCAACCAAAUCCACGCCGGAUCUAGCUCCCGCAGAUGAUCCGGCAUCCUCAUCCAGUGCUCCUGUGGGAGACGAUUCGCGCGUUGGAGACGCGAGUGCUGGCGGUGCUCUGUCCCCUAGCGCUGGCGGUGAGACCAUACUGGUGGGUCCGCUCUGUCCCCCUCCCCUCCCCACGCGGCGAUGUAGGAGUGGCAGGCGCAGCUACUGGGCCACGCGGUGGAGACGGAACCGGCGAGUCAUACGUUGGCGCGACAGGAACAGCCAGCGGAUCAGCUUGAAAAUCAGUGCAUGCGCCCUGAAAAACGCCGCCUGAGUUUACUGUACCGCUGUGCGCCGGCGCAUCUGAUAGCUCCUCUUGAAAAACAGCCUGCUCAUCUCUAGAUGGCAAAUGAUCAGUAGCGUUAGUAAUAUUGUCAAUGCAACUUACAUCCCCCGGAUUACGAAGAUGAUUAGGUAAAAGGGGAAUCUCUUUUCUAAGAAGAACGCCUGCAUUUGGAUGUAAGUGGGUAAACGGAAAGAUAGAUUAAUCGAAAAUAACAUCACGAGAGAUGUAGGUACAACCCGUGGAAGGAUCUAAGCACUUGAAGCCUUUAUGCAUGAAGCUGUAACCAAUAAAAGUACAUUUAAUAGAUCUGAAAGCAAGCUUUCAAGUAUUAUAGGGGCGGAAGUUAGGCCAACAGGCGCACCCAAAAAUGCGAAGAGAGUUGUAAUCAGGCUUUUCUUGUAGCAAGCGUUCUAUAGGGGUAUCAAAACUAAGAACUUUGCUGGGAAGCAUGUUGAUGAGAUAAGUGGCAGUUAAAAAAGCUUGAUCCCAAAAUUUAAAGGGCAUCAAUGCAUUUGCAAGAAGCGCAAGACCAACUUCAACAAUAUGACGAUGCUUCCUUUCAACAAAAUCGUUUGCUGGUGGGCAUGAGGGCAUGAAACACGAUGUGCUAUGCCAAUCUGCUGGAAAAAGGAAUUCAAUUUCUCAUAUUCGCGUCCCCAGUCAGUUUGCACAGAAAUAAUUUUCUUAUCAUAUUUUCGCUCCACGAGAUUCUGGAAUUCUUUAAAAACUUGGAACACAUCAUAUUUCUUUUUCAAGAGAUAAGUCCAGGUGAAUCUACUAAAAUCAUCAAUGAAGCUCACAUAGUAAGAAUAACGACCCACAGAAGUAGGUGCAGGACCCCAAACAUCAGAGUGAAUAAGAUCAAGCAGAGCUUUGGAUGAAUUUUCUGAACUCGAAUAUGGUAGUUGAUGGCUUUUAGCCAUUUGACAAGCAUAAAAAAUUCACUCAAAACUAGUACCGCCACAAGGGAGAUAGAUUCUAAUGGAUAAAGCCCUCCUUUGCAUCUACCUUUAUGAAGGAUUUUCUUCGUUUCCUGAUCCUAGAUAAAAAAGAAUUUUGGAUGAAAUUCCAGAAAGGCAUUAUUACCAAAAGCUAGUAUGUGGAUGGAAACAAGAUUUUUGUGGGCAGUAGGAACAUGAAGGAUAUUGUAUAGAUGUAAGGUUCUACCCGGAGUAUGUAAAGUUGAAUGAUCAAUAUUACUAAUUUGCAGACCUGAACCGUUGCUAGCCUGAACUUGAUCUCGACCAUUGUACUUGUCUUUCACAGUUAACUUGUCAAGUUCUCCAGUGAUGUGGUCGGUUGCGCCACUGUCUACAUACCAAUUUGUAUCAUAGCCGUAACCUGUAGCUGCAGCGCCGGCCACUUUCUCCUGGUCAUCCUCGUCGUAUCUGUACCAACAUCUUGGUGCUUCAUGACCGACCUUUUUGCAGAUUUGACAGACAACCUUCUUGGGCUGAUUUCCACUAUUAUUGGUCUGGCCGCCCCUGUUUUGGCCACCACUGGUGCGCCCAUGGUUGCGCCCUCCUUUUCUUCGUCCUCCAUUGCCACGUCCUUGAAAACCUCCACGAGAACCUGAAUUUGUUGACGAUGUGUAGUGUCCCCCUUUAUUAUAAGCCUCCGGGUGCAUCUCAUAGGACAGAAGGUGAGAGUACAAAUCGGAAAGAGAGAGGGGAUCGGCGCAGCCAAGCAUUGAGGACACAAAUGGAUUAUACUCGAAAUCAAGACCAUUAAGGAUGUAAGAUGCCAUCUCACCAUCAUCAAUGAUGACUCCUACUGCCGCUAGCUCAUCCUUGAUAGCCACCAUCUUGGUGUAAUAUGUUGAUGCAGUCAUGCUACCCUUCUUGAGGGUAGACAACCUCAUGCGUAGAUUUGUCACGCGUGCUCUUGAUUGUGCCGCAAACAUUGUCUGCAGCGCACUCCAUGCUCCAGCCGAUAUCGCCUCUGACACCACUUGUGCUAGCACUUCCUUGGUGAUGGAGUUGAGGAGAUAACUCAGCAGUUGCUGAUCUUUCGCCACCCAUAUAUCAUAUUCUGGGUUAGUGACCAAUUCUUUCUUGCCAUCGGCCUUCACCACUUCCGUGGUCUUGGCCAGCUCCUUGACAGAUCCGUCGAGGAUUCCCAUCAGCUGCGCGCCUCGCAUAGCGGGCAAGAAUUGAGCCUUCCAUAAGACGUAAUUCUCCCAUAUAAGCUUUUCAGCUACAGGAGCUCCGAGGGGCACCGCCGUAGGCGAAGCAGAUGAUGACGCCGUGGAUGUGUAUGGCGUGUUCCUAGAGAGGGUGGAGUAGUGGAAGAAGCGCUCUGAUUACCAUGUCAAAUAGAUUGAACACGGUUGCCUGUCUUGGCUCGCCGUAGUUGCAUGUUUAUAUAGGGACAAAGUCCCAACACGUUACAAUAUGUAGGAGCGGCAGGCACAGCUGCUGAGCCACGCGGUGGAGACGGAACCGGCGUGUCGUACAUUGGCGUGACAGGAACAGCCAGCGGAUCAGCUUGAAAAUCAGUGCAUGCGCCCUAAAAAAAUGCCGCCUGAGUUUACUGUACCGCUGUGCGCCGGCGCAGAUGAUAGCUCCUCCUGAAAAACAGCCUUCUCAUCGCUAGAUGGCAAAUGGUUAGUAGCAUUAGUAAUAUUGUCAAUGCAACUUACAUCCCACGGAUUACGAAGAUGAUUAGGUAAAAGGAGAAUCUCUUUUCUAAGAAGAACGCCUGCAUUUGGAUGUAAGUAGGUAAACGGAAAGAUAGAUUCAUCGAAAAUAACAUCACGAGAGAUGUAGAUACGACCCGUGGAAGGAUCUAAGCACUUGAAGUCUUUAUGCAUGAAGUUAUAACCAAUAAAAGUACAUUUAAUAGAUCUGAAAGCAAGCUUUCGAGUAUUAUACGGUGCAAGUUAGGCCAACAGGUGCACCCAAAAAUGCGAAGAGAGUUAUAAUCAGGCUUUUCUUGUAGCAAGCGUUCUAUAGGGGUAUCAAAACUAAGAACUUUGCUGGGAAGCAUGUUGAUGAGAUAAGCGGCAGUUAAAAAGGCUUGAUCCUAAAAUUUUAAGGGCAUCGAUGCAUUUGCAAGAAGCACAAGACUAACUUCAACAAUAUGAUGAUGCUUCCUUUUAACCAGACCCUUUUGCUAGUGGGCAUGAGGGCAUGAAACACGAUGUGCUAUGCCAAUCUGUUGAAAAAAGGAAUUCAAUUUCUCAUAUUCACCUCCCCUGUCAGUUUGCACAAUAACAAUUUUCUUAUCAUGUUUUUGCUCCACGAGAUUCUGGAAUUCUUUAAAAACUUGGAACACAUCAGAUUUAUUUUUCAAGAGAUAAAUCUAGGUGAAUCUACUAAAAUCAUCAAUGAAGCUCACAUAGUAAGAAUAACGACCCACAGAAGUAGGUGCAGGACCCCAAACAUCAGAGUGAAUAAGAUCAAGCGGAGCUUUGGAUGAAUUUUCUAAACUCGAAUAUGGUAGUUGAUGGCUUUUAGCCAUUUGACAAGCAUCAAAAAUUCACUCAAAACUAGUACCGUCACAAGGGAGAUUAUUAUGACUAAGCACACCCUGAACAAUAGGAUAAGCUGGAUGGCCUAAGCGACUAUGGCACUUAGAAACAGAAGGUUUGCUAACACCAUAACCUUUCUUGCCGCCGCUUUCUUCUGACGAGAUAGAUUCUAAUGGAUAAAGCCCUCCUUUGCAUCUACCUUGAUGAAGGAUUUUCUUCAUUUCGGAUACUAAAGAAUUUUGGAUGAAAUUCCAAAAAGGCAUUGUUAUCAGAAGCUAGUAUGUGGACGGAAACAAGAUUUUUGUGGGCAGUAGAAACAUGAAGGAUAUUGUUUAGAAAUAAAGUUCUACCCGGGGUAUGUAAAGUUGAAUGACCAAUAUUACUAAUUUGCAUACCUGAAUCGUUGCCAGCCUGAACUUGAUCUCGACCAUUGUACUUGUCUUUGACAGUUAACUUGUCAAGUUCUCCAGUGAUGUGGUCGGUUGCGCCACUAUCUACAUACCAAUUUGUAUCAUAGCCGUAACCUGUAGCUGCAGCGCCGGCCACUUUCUCCUUGUCAUCCUCAUCGUAUCUGUACCAGCAUCUUGGUGCUUCGUGACCGACCUUUUUGCAGAUUUGACAGACAACCUUCUUGGGCUGAUUUCCACUAUUAUUGGUUUGGUCGCCCCUGUUCUGGCCACCACGGCCACCACUAGUGCACCCACGGUUGCACCCUUCGUUGCCUCGUCCUCCAUUGUCACGUCCCCGAAAACCUCCAUGAGAAGCUGAAUUUGCUGACGAUGCGUACUGUCCCCCUUCAUUAUAAGCCUCUAGGCGCAUCUCAUAGGACAGAAGGUGAGAGUACAAAUCGGAAAGAGAGAGGGGAUCGGCACGGCCAAGCAUCCAGGACACAAACAGAUUAUACUCAAUAUCAAGACCAUUAAGGAUGUAAGAUGCCAUCUCACCAUCAUCAAUGAUGACUCCUACUGCCGCCAGCUCAUCCUUGAUAGCCACCAUCUUGGUGUAAUAUGUUGAUGAAGUCAUGCUACCCUUCUUGAAGGUAGACAACCGCAUGCGUAGAUUUGUCACGCGUGCUCUUGAUUGUGCCGCAAACAUUGUCUGCAGCGCACUCUAUGCUCCAGCUGACGUCGUCUCUGACACUACUUGUGCUAGCACUUCCUUGGUGAUGGAGUUGAGGAGAUAACUCAGCAGUUGCUGAUCUUUCGCCACCCAUAUAUCAUAUUCUGGGUUAGCGACCAAUUCUUUCUUGCCAUCGGCCUUCACCAGUUCCAUGGUCUUAGCCGGCUCCUUGACAGAUCCGUCGAGGAUUCCCAUCAGCUGCGCGCCUCGCACAGCGGGCAAGAACUGAGCCUUCCAUAAGACAUAAUUCUCUUGUGUAAGCUUUUCAGCUAAAGGAGCUCCAGGCGGCACAAGACGUAAUUCUCUUGUGUAAGCUUUUCAGCUAAAGGAGCUCCAAGCGGUGCCGCCGUAGGCGAAGCAUAUGAUGAUGCCAUGGAUGUGUAUGGCAUGUGCCUGGAGAGGGUGGAGUAGAUAGAUGUGUUUAUGGAAGAAGCACUCUGAUUACCAUGUCAAAUAGAUUGAACACGGUUGCUUGUCUUGGCUCACCGUGGUUGCAUGUUUAUAUAGGGACAAAGUCCCAACACAUUACAAUAUAUGUAGUUACAGAUAGAGUUUAGCCAGCCUUCAAAUACAUCAAGAUUCUAUCUCUAUCUCUAGCAGGCCAACUCAAAUCAUAACAACUCUUAUGUCUAAGUUACAGUCCUGCCUCAUAGGACGAUUCUUCUAACAAUGCUAACCCCAUCUAUGGAUCUUAUUCACAGGCCAGCUUCGUGUCAAAGCUGGUCAAACAUAUGGCGAAGGCCUGGAAAGCCGACAGCGGGUACCGGUAGUCCAUGGUGAUCGAACGUAUCCUUUGCAACUUUGCCGAAUUGCAAGAUCACCGUGUCGUGGCUCGACGACGCCUGGGGCUGCGGCGUCUGUCGAGCAGGAGGUGCCGAAGCCCCUGCUGCGGCUGCCUGUGCCGCAGAAGCUAUCAGCUGGAAGUUCUUGACUGAUGCCACCGUCACACGGCCACGGAAGUUGAGGCAGCAGCAUUGCAGCUGCUCGUGCCACCUCGACGCCUUGUUGCACAGAACCAGGGGCCUCUCCUUGUCUGCGUCGUCGUCGUCGCCGCCGCCUCGCUGAUUUCCUCCGCCAAACUCCGAGUACCGACAACUGCUCAAGUCCAUGGAGCUAUCUGCGAUGGAGUACUUGGAGAAAGAAGUUGCUGUGCUGCGGAAGGACUCGUCGAAUAACCUCGGGAGGAGCUCUUUCGGUUGCCCAGGCACAACACCGCCAGGCUCCCUGCUGGUCGGGGCGGCGUUCUCCGUCGGAGCGAUGCCGGGCCUCAACAUCUUCUUCGAAGAUCACGGCUGCGGCGGUUCCAAUAGAUGGCCGUGAGGUGGACGGCCUUUCAUCGCGGUUGUUGUCGCCUCUAAAAAACCUGACGAAGGGAAAUUGGUCCAUCGCGUGUGCGGGCAGGGGUGAACAACCGGGUAGGCGCGCUGGUCCUACCUGGGUACGAAAUAGCGGAUAUAUGGUGAGUACUCUAAAGCCAGCCAUAGAAUUAAUAAUUAUUCUAUAGCCAGGGCACUGGCAGUCCAUGAUUGGCAGUCCAUGAUUGGAAUUACUACGAGGGUCCACCUCCCUGCUGAUCCGGGCUCCUACGAGACGAGCGAGCUGAGGCGCCUGAGCGACGGAGCCGGUCAUUGUGUAAUCGAAGCUAGGAGAAACGACAGUCAUUAGCCAUUACUACGUAAUCAAAGCUACAUUGACGUUCAAAAAAAAUUCUCCUUAUCAGAACUGCAUCAUGCAAGUGUAUCGUACACUGGUUACGAGAAUACUUGGGCUUGGUUUUGUCUACACGUUCAAAAACUUACGAGAAUACUUGGGUUGGCUGUUUUCUGUAAAGAAAUAAAGAAUUCUUUUACAAGAAUGCGUGGAUCACGGUACUAGAUAAUUUUUACGACAAUACUAGGUAGUUAUCUGAUGGUUUACUAUAUCUACUAUUUUAGCGGUAUGAAUUACGAUAAUGCAUGGCUUGUGUACUGGAAUCUAUUUGGUGGAUUACGAUGAUACAUUAACAUAGAGGGAAGGUUUAAAUUUGAACACACAGCUAUUUUGGUGGGACAUACUUCAUUGAAGAACGACUUGGCUUAAACACUGUACAAUAAUUUAGAAGGCUCGUAGAUACAUAUGUCUACACCCAGAAUUUGAGAAAAUCAUUUAUUUGGAGCUUCUCUCGUUUUGUUGCAGCUAGUUGGCCAGAGAUAUUGAAAUCAGAUUUCAACCGUGCCUAUUAUUAGCUGCUCGUAAGUGAGCGCAUCUUGCCCAGGACUUGCCAGAAGACCUCAUCACCUGAAAACUUCGUAAUAACAAGGAGAAUAGUUAAAAAGUAAGUUCAUUUCACAUCUGUAACAAGUGUUUAGAUGGCUAAUAGCAUAUAUGCAUGCAGAUUAGGCAUAAACCAAUUUACCACCAAUUUUUACGAGAAUGGCAUCAUCAAUUCACCACAAAGUUAUUUACCACAAUUGGAAUAAUCAAGUUACUAUAAAAUAAUAUCGAGUUUAUUAGAAUCCCUCGUACCAGAACUACGAAAAUUGAUACUUACAUGGUCAAAAUUACCACAAUGGCAUGCUAUAAUCAAUUUACCACAAUGGCACAAUCUAGUUACUAUACUAUGUUUCUCAAAAAAAAAAUGGACCAAUUACCAUAACAGCAUGACCCAUUUACCAGGAACUAAUUCGUAACUACUACGGUGGUGUCAACUGUCAAGUUAGCACAACUGCAUUUACUAUAAUCCAAAUUGCUCGACCAUGGGAGUAUGAUGUAAGACAAAUAGACAAUGGUUAAAAGAUGUAAUACAAAAGUAUGGUAUACCAUGACAUAUAGAUUAAGUUGUAUCACAAGUUCUGGCUGGAAACUUGUUGGCUGGUGUUCAGUGAGCGGUAAAUAUUAAAAGAGCAGCACAAACCUAAAUUGGGCUCCUUUUCCUGCAUAUGUAGUGAUUUAAAAUUAGAACGAAUGAACUACAUGAAUGAGAGCAAGCAGGAUUGAACCAAGUAUGGUAACCACAUGAUGAUCAGAUACUAAUAAACAUUGUUUUGCCUACUGAACACUAUGAUCAGAGUGCCCUACUUACUACAAUGAAGUGCCCAAUUUACACAAAUUAUAGCAUUGAGGAACCAAUUUACGAUAAUUGUGAGUACUAUAAAUAAACAUGUAGCAAUGAUAAUGUGACAGAUGAUUUACCACAAGCAAGCAAAAUGAUGCUUGAAGACACGAUUUAGCAAUGCAAAAUGGUAGAAUUUUACAUAAUUCAACAGUCUAUGGACGAUAGUUAUGAAGUGAUUUACUACAACUAGGACAACAGCUAUUUACCAUAAUUAAACGUCUAGUGCCCAAACUGUGGCAGGUGAUUUAUCAAGGGCGAAGGAUUCAGGAUAAUGACAGGCUUGAUUUGACAAUACAAAUUGAUAUGCAGUCACCGUAAUUGUAUUGGUGUGACUGAAAACAAUAAACAUUGCCUUCAAAAAAUGUGUUGGGUACAGACUGAUUUGUUGCACAGAACACUCAUCCUUUUAUCUCUGGGAGUAAUGAGUAAAACACAACAAAAAUGAUGGCAACUAAGAUACUGUCAUAUUACUUUGACUAUGGCCAUCAGCCUAGAAUUCCAUGAAAUCUGAUGCGGACAGACAUGCUAGCUGAUUUUGAUCCCGUUCAGACUUACUCCCAAGGGACGUCGCCGACCAGCACCCGGUCGCCGUCCUCGACCUCGUACACCAGUGUGUACUCGCCGCUGAUCACGGGCUCCUCGGCCUCCUCCCCCGCUGCCUCCUCGCCGCAGCGCCAGCCCACCGCGGCGGCGGCUGGGUCCCUUUGGGCUGCGCAAUCGAGGGAUUUUUUUUUCUCGCAUGAUCAGACAACGCGAGCACGCAUACACAGUUCUUGGAACAAACGAGGCGGCGAUGGAGUACGUACCGGCGAGCAGGCUGCGGAAGAGCUUGCCGACGGCGGCGGAGAGCUCGGCGUAGCCGCCGUACGCCGUGAGGUCCACCUUCUGCCCGAUGGGCACUCCGUCCAUGUUGAUCUUCACGAACAGGCCGCCGCUCUUGUGCGGUUGUGCCCGCCCUCGCCGGCGCCGCCUCCCUUGGCGCCGCGGCCUCCCUUAACUCCGCCGUCCUGAUGAUGAGCCGACGACGACUGCGGCGAGUACCUGAUGGACGCCAGGUUCCUCCUGAACGACCGCACCGGCGGCCACCCCUCCACCGGGCGGAGGGGCCGGCGGGCGGCACGGGAGGAGGGGCCGGCGGGGGCUGCCGCCGCUCGCCAUAUCCCGUGGCGGCAGGAGGGGGCGGGAGGGCGGAGGUGGACCAGAUCGGUUGGGGCGAGGGAGGGGGACCUGCCCGGAGUUGGGAGCGAGAUUUUGGGUAGCGGCUGCGUGCGUGGGGGCGGGCGGGAUGGCUGACGGGGAGUCGAUGGAUUUUGGGCGGCAGCGGCGGACGCGGAUAAGGGGCGUUUUCUUCCCGUGUCUUAUUUUUAGCACGUGUCACAUCAAAUGUUUAGAUACUAAUUAGGAGUAGUAAACGUAGACUAUUUACAAAACCAAUUACAUAAGUGGAAUCUAAACGGCGAGGCGAAUCUAUUAAGCCUAAUUAAGCCUAAUUAAUCCAUCAUUAGCAAAUAUUUACUGUAGCAACACAUUGUCAAAUCAUGGACUAAUUAGGCUUAAUAGAUUCGUCUCGCCGUUUAGAUUCGUCUUAUGUAAUGGGUUUUGUAAAUAGUCUACGUUUAAUACUCCUAAUUAGUAUCUAAACAUUCGAUGUGACGGGUGCUAAAAAUAAGUCAGUGGAAGAAAACGGGGCCUAAGAUUGAGGAUCGAGCCGACGAGCGGUCCCAUGACGAGCUGAUGAGCCUAAAGACUCGUUACUCCCGGCUACCGUUCGACUCCGUCGCUAGGCUCGCCGGCUCGGUCGAUCGUGGGACGGAUGAUCUCGAUUUGAACGGAUGGAUGAUCCAGCUACAGAAUAAUCUAUUCUGUGACCAACUACGGAUAAAUAGAUCCCUUUAUAUAUAUAUAUAUACAUAUAUAUACAUACAUACAUAUAUAUAUACAUAUAUAUACGCGUGCGCGCGCACACAGCUGGCAUCAGAACAUGUUGGAGCGGAAAAGAACGACCAACGUAGAGGACUGGCUCGAUUAAUUGGAAUAGGAAGUCUCUGGAUUUUGAGCAGCAUACCAUGCAUGAUGUCUCGUUCAUUUGUUUUUGUGCCAGUCGCACGUUGUCCUUGCUGACUUGCCAGAAUCUAACACCGAGAGAGUAGCAAGCUAUUUGUGCUACAUGCUAAAUUAACCAAUUAUGGGCCUCUGACGACCUGCUGGUUGUGAACACACUCAUCUGUUGUGCGUUGUUGUGGUUGAGGACAUCUCGUUAAGCACAUACAUGCAGUUUUUUCGUUGUAUAUACAAUAAGAUAAAUAGUUCACUGGAAAAGAAAACAGACAAUAAGAGCACAUGCUUAGCUGUUGUGACAGCAAAACUAAGUAUUAAUAUUAGAAGUGCAGUUGUGGACUCAAAUUUUUAAAAAUCUCUCUCUCUCUCUAUAUAUAUGUAUUAUGCUUAACAAUCUGAAUGUUAUACCUUUUAUCACUCUUGUUUCCUCUCCUCCAUGUUUCUACUACUCCUUUCUAGUUCUGUUAGUUGGCGAUUGUAUACAGAACAUAUAAGGGGAAAUAUAAUAUCAAUCUUUAGUUCCCAUGAUAACAAUAUACAUAAAUUUUAGGUCGAGCAACGCCAAAGGUGAUGAUAUGUUGACAAUAUAUAUAAAUUUGAUAACAAUCGGUACUUUGUAACUGUGUAUUUAAGCAUAGUAAUGGACAGUGGAACAGCGAAAGGAAAUAUUAAUAAGCAUAGCCAUGUGCCCAAAGUUAAAAAGCUCGACAUUUGCUAAUCUAUUUAUAAACUCAAAAUUAAUUAAAGAUUUUGAUCGUUUCAUAUAAUUGAAGAGUUAACGACAUAUAAUGAUCAGUUGAGGUACAGAACAAACAUGCUUUACCAAAUGGAAAAUAACAACCCUCACAUGAGAUUUUCAUUGGAACAUGCAAAUCAGUAUAUAAGUCAAUCAACAGAAUAAUUAAAUCAUUUAAAUAUAUAAUCAAAUCGGUAGAACACCUGCGUCUUAUCUCAAGUUGAACUAGGGAAAACGCACAAAUCAAAUGCUGAUAAUGAAGUGGUAACAGGGAGGGUGAACAGAGAGUACUAGAUAGACCAAGGGGAAAUGGAGAACAGAGGAGGAGGAGCAGAAAUCAAUUGCAAGCAGGGAGGCCAGCAGCAGCUAUGCGGCGCGCCACGACCGAGAUGAAGGAGACGACGGUAGCGUCCAGCACCAGAGAUCCGACAGGUAUCCUGCGUGGUAGUGAGGUUGUAUGCGGCCUACGCAUUGCCUCCGCCCCUCGGCGUCCGGGCCACGAUCUCCAUCGCCUAGCUAACGCUCAUCACAGCAUGGGGCGGGAUCUCCUCUGCAGCCGCAACUGCAAGGAGGGAGUCAGCGACAGCUGCGGCUGUGAGGAAGGGGGCGACGGGUUCCAUCGAUGCGAGCAGAGAAGGCCGAUUUUCAGGAGACACCUCAUGACGCUGCCAGAGCAUCAGUCAGGUCAUACUCCAUAAAAAAAUAUGUAAACCGUAAAAUAGUGCAAUUGUCUCAGGAUAUAUACGCAUUACAAAUACCUACAGAGACAAACAUUUCACUCCACACCAGAAGGUCUAUCUACAAUAAUAUACAGGCCAGUAUAUGAAGUUCCCCACUUAACUAAUGCUUAGAUGGAUUAUCACGAAGAACAACAUAUCGUUGGACUUGAGGGACGUCUAACGUGGCAAACCAGCAGUCGAGAGGAACUCUUGCUCCAGACUGUAGAACUUUUUGCUACCUUGAGAUGAGGAAAGUUCAGAUUUUUUCCCAAAAUCAAUGCCUGAUAACUGAUAGCUGUUUAUAUCACCUUUCAUAAGCAAGGGUUGCCUCUCUUCAUCUUUUCCAGCAGCAGGUUGAUUGGACUCUGCUCGUUUUGUCCUCAGAAAUUGUAGUGCCAUCUCCACUUGCUUCAUAGUAGGUCUUUGGUCACUUUGGAGUCUCACGCACAUCUCCACAAGAGAUGCAACACAAUUUAUUUCUUCUUCAGACGCUUCCUCGAGAACUUGAGGAGCUACUAUUUCCGUAAUAGGCCUAUUCUUCAUCUCCCACAGAAAGUAGUUAGACAAGUUUUGCUUUGUGCCCGACUCACUUGUAAGAAUAGGCUCCUUUCUUACAAGCAAUUCCAAGAGUACCACACCAAAACUAUAAACAUCACUCUUUUCAUUUAAUUGCCCAGUAUGGUAAUACUCUGGAUCUAAGUACCCAAACGUUCCUUGGACAUUGGUAACUACAUGUGUUUGAUCUAUUGGAACCAAUCUUGAAGCACCAAAAUCUGACACUUUAGCGGUAUAGUUGGAGUCAAGGAGAAUGUUGGAUGACUUCACAUCACGAUGGAAAACUGAUACUGAAGCUGCAGAAUGGAGAUAGCAAAGAGCCCCAGCAGCUUCGGCCGCAAUCCGGAGGGAGCCAUCCCAUGACAAAACUAAUUCGUUACUUGAACCACCAUGGAGGAAGUCAUAAAGUGAGCCAUUAGGGAUAAAAUCAUACACCAGUAGUGGGACCUCGGUCUCGAGACAACAUCCAAAUAACUUAACAAUAUUCCUAUGGUUUAUUUGAGAAAGAAUUGCAACCUCAUUUAUGAACUGAUUAAUCUCACCUUCCUCAAUAAUUUUAGACCGCUUUAUUGCAACCACACGUUGGUCCGAUAAGAUGCCUUUGUAAACCAUACCAUGUCCACCACGGCCUAGGAUACGUGUGGAAUCAAAAUUAUUUGUUGCCUUCUCAAGCUCCUCCAGAGAGAAAAUCUUUGUCUUUUCACUAGCAUUUUCAUCAGAUAAUAUUAGUUGUUCUAGGAGUAGGCCCUGGUUUCUACGGAAAUACAUCCUACGCAGUCGUUUUUGGAUGUUUCUUUUCCAUCGACGGGUGAGGUAUAUUCCACCAACACUAAGAAGCAGAACUGUAAAACCACUGCACAGACCGAUAAUAACACCUGAAAAGUUGUACCUAUGAGUUCCAUUUUAACAUAAAUAAUAGGGAAAUUUGUCUAGAGGACACUAGAUAAAAACAAACUUUUCUCUAGGACACAGCAGCAAGUUUUAUUAUCUGUAGGACACCGUCCAGUGUCCUCGAGAUAACAAACUGAGUGUCAUAGUGACAAAACCAGGUAAAUGUAGUGUUCUGUAGAUAAAUUUCCACUAACAAUAUCUCAAAAAAUAUACUUCUUACCUAAGAGAGCAUUUUGUUGUUUCAUUGACGAGCACUGUAAUUUGGUUGGAUCAUAUACUGUCUUCUCAGGGCAUGGGGUACAGUAGAAGCUUCCCAUAGUAUUGUGGCACAUUCCUUGACAUCUGUCUUGUUGUUUACACUCAUCAACAUCUGCAAAUUAAGCACAUGUAUGAUUUUUAGGUAGGCAGAAUUUGCUAAAACUUUUCAUAGUUUACUGAUAUAAUCAAAUGUAAAACCAAAGGAAUAAUUACUUCCCUAUUUUAAGACGGCACAUGCACCAUAAUGUUGUAUAUCAUCUUCACAUUAUUAAGACAUCUAUCGAAAAGUUCAUAUAUUCCCUCCGUUUAUUUUUAUAAGGCAUGAUAUGACAUGGCACGGUCUUCCAAAUUAUCCUUUGAUCAUUAAUUUAACUUAAAUUAUAUUGUUUAUGGUUAUAAACUCAUAAUUAUUGGAGAGUACAUUUGGUUACAAAUCCAACCAUGUCAAGUUUACAUCGUCAAAAUAAAAAAAUUAUUGGUUAAAUUAUUGGUCAAAGAUAGCAAUGUUUGAAUCUAGGUAUGCACGUACGCUUUAUAAACAUAAACGGAGGGAUUAUACACCACCAUUAAAUGCCUCAGGUUACAACUAUACUAUAGCAUUGACAAAUUAGUUAUUUAGACAAUGCAAAUAUCAUAAUUUUUGUCAUCCAUAUGUAAUGCAUGGCAGUUCAUAACUUCAGUACAAGGUAAAUUUCGAAUAAACUAUAAAUUGUAAUAUUUUACGAACAUAAUAUUUAUGCAGAUAUCUUUUAAUAUGACAUGGAUACUUGGGCAAAAUUAAGGAAAUAAUGAAUUCAAAAGCCACCCACACAGUAGAACGUUGCAACAAAAAAGUCGCAUGUUUAAUACCCACAUGUGUGGUUACCAAGCUUUAAACACAUGACCGCCCCUCUAAAACGACCCCAGUUAGAAUCCAUAGUGUAAAACAUGGUCAUCUAGUAUGAGUAAAAAGUUUACUACACAACUGAACUAGUCGGCCUAGGCAUUUCUGAUCUUUAACGCAUGGGCUGGGCAAUAUGUAUAAGAUGGCUGUGGUUACAAAACACUGAACCCAAUCGACCUUGGUCCAUAUUUCCAAUACAUAUACAUCAUUGUGUUCAAGCAUUCUUCUCCAAGGCUAUUGGUACUAAGGUUGUAUAUUGUGCACACACUCUUGUUUGGAAAGAGAUAUGGCUUCAUGGGCAUAUAAUCUCUCUUGCACCUUAUCUCUUUGCUUUGGUGGCCAAGUGAAGGGCUAACAAGCAAACUAUAUUGGAGGCUCUUACUGAUAAUGCCUCCAUUGCUGACAUGCAAGGGGCCCUUACAGUGGGUGUAAGAGCUGGAUAUUUGGACCUUUGGGAUCUCAUCCUCAGGCUGUGUUGUUGCAGCCUGCUAGUGUGUAGGAUAAAUAUGUUUGACGCCUAUCUUCUUUACGGGAUUAUUCGGCUAAGUCAGAAUAUGAAGAAUUUUUUUGAGGUGCGGUUCAGUUUGAACAUUGGCAGUGUAUUUGGAUAUGUCACUUCUUCAUAUGGCUUGUCGCAUAAUCUCUCCGUCCCAAAAAGAAUACCAUCCUGGAUUCAAAUUUUGUCCAAAAAGAAUGCAAUCUGGGAUUUCAGCAUCGUGCAUGCAUAAUCUAGCAAAUAGAAACGGAUUCCCUCCAUCUUCUCUAUGCAAACACAACUAACUAAAGGUACAUGCGUCUUUUUUAUUCACCCCUAGUUUGUAUGAAAAAUCCCACGAUGUUGUUCAUUUUCGGAUGGAGGGAGUAUGUGAUAGAUGUUGGAUGGUUGAUCGCCUUACUUGUCGAAGCUUACAGCAUCCUGAGCACUAUCCUCUCUAUGACCAAGAGGCGGGAACAAUUAACCACUUGCUUGUACUGUGAUUUUGCCCAACAGUUUUGUUUCUGUUCUACAGAAUGUCGGCCUACAAAGCUUGACUCGGCAACCUGCUGAAUCUUGCUCUAAUGGCUGCUGGUGGUCGUGGAGUAAUGAUUUGGUUGGACUGGCAGGUACUACAAGGAUUAAAUUCCAUCAUUAUUCUAGGGGCUUGGUAUCCAUGGAAACACAUGAAUCAGAGUGUUUUUUAUGGAGGAUCAUCUCUUAAUUUGGAGUUUGUCCGAAGCUAAGGGGCUCUCUCCUUAUUUGCCUCGAGCCCAAAAAUGUAAUGAUGAGCUUAAGGUCAUAGUGGGUUCUCUUUUAGUUUAAAAGGUGCCCAUGUUUUCCUGUAAAUAUCUAGGGUUUGUGGUGCAUGGUGUUGUAUGUGUUUAUCAUACACUAUAUAUUCUUCUUAAUAUAACGAUAUCCAGCUUUCAUACGUGUCCUAGAAAAACAACUUUAAAUGAAAAAUGUCAACUGAGAGAAUGUAGAUCUCGUUGAUACUUAUAAUUUUUAUAUAGAGUUUAUUGUAUCCAUCAGAGUCUAUAUGGAAAAUUAUGAAUUCUUUAAAUAAGAUAAAAUUCAAAUUACACGUAGGAAAAUAUGUGGGCCGGUUCAUGGAGGUAUCAGUGGCAGUGAUGAGGAGAAUAAUACCACCGGUCCAUAUCUUUGACCAGCUGUAAUUUUGCUGCCUGCAGGACAGUUACCAAAAAUCACAAUUUCUGUAGUAGUAUUAAGGACAAAAGUCGCACAUAUAAUCGUGAAGAUAUUUUUGCUGGUGGAUAACCCAUAAGAGGUUUGUCUGGUACAACUUCCUUAUUCGUGUUGGUACUUGGUUCCAAACUUUACUAUCACGGAUGAGCUGCUAGAAAAAAAAAUGUUUGUUGUAGUAUCUAGUUGAUACUAGAAACAUUUUAGGUAUGUAGUUAAGUCACACUUAAAAAUAAAAAUUUCCAAUAUAAAAUAUGUAUUUAGCAUAUAGGAUCAUAAUUUUGUACGGGAAGGGGAGUUUAGUUACCUUCGCAACCACUGUAGAGGUAUGGAUUUCCGUGGAACCCGUAGGAGCAAUUGCAUCGGUAACCAACAUAGCCACUUGUAGAAUUAACUGGAAUGCAAUUGCUAUUUGCGCUAACACAUGCAUAUCCAGAGCUAUUUGCCUGUGCCUCUUGACAAGUUAGAUUCGCAACAACCCAUUUCAAAGAAACUGACUCACUUGAUCUAACAAAAAUGCCAGGGUCAUCGUCAGACAUAUGGUUAACUGAUCCUUCAUCAUCAUCAGGGAUUGUGUACUUGAUAAGCCCUUCAUCAAUAUUGAUCUCUGUCACAAGAUAGUAUUCAUAAUAAUAUCCCAGUUGCAGGGUAGAAGUUGUCACAUUUGUGCAGUUGAGAAAAAACUGUUCUCUAGCAAAACAACCUUCUUCAAUCCCAAAUGGAAAAAGAACCUUGAUGUGUCCACAAACACGGCUGCAAUUGGCUUUUUGUUGCGCUGCAGGAUUGUAACCUAAUUCCAGUAGAAAAGUAUUCACAAUGAGUACUAUAGAAAAGUAAUACCUUUUCUUUUGGCAGGUAAUACCUUUAUCUAAUAUGUAAAUAGAUGCUGUAGUGUGACCCAGAAUGGGAUGAUUACUAUAUAGCUAGGUUGAAUAUAAGCCACCAAAUUAGUUUUAAGAUAAAGAAAAUCUGGGACAAGUUCCUCCAAAUUCUCUUACUACUUAUUUUAGAGGACCCAAAGUUAUAACUUUGAGGAUAUAAUUACCAAUCUCAAAGACUCACGAAAACCUUGCGCGCUUUGUAUUCUGCUCCCCACGGGCACAUACUUCUAACACCCAUAUUUUGUAUUCUGCUCAACACACCCUGACACCCACUAUGGCUUUCUGGUAUUUUUGACAACUGUGUCAAUCCUAGGAGAAUUUGUAAUUCAGAAAGAAAAUGAAUGGAAGAAAAGUAGUACAUACAGUAUGUAACAUACUGAAUAUCAAUUAUACAAAUACAUAGAGUAUUGUAGUUUUUUUGGUCAUAUGGGUAACUAUGUAGUUGGCAUAUCUACAACAUCUGUAGGAAGUCAAGCAGGACCAUUUAUAAUUUGCUGAAUUUCUAUGGGUUCUUUUAACUGCCCUAUAUAUUGUACCUUUUUUGAAGACGUAAACACCGCUUCUAUUAAUAAAUAAUAAAUCUAGAUAUCUGAAUGGCCUCGGGCUUAAGUUCUCAAUAUAGAAAUCGAGUGUAAUGAAAGAAGAAGCUGGAUUUCUUACAACGGGGUAGUGUUAAUACCUCUGUCUCGCGAGCAGCCACUUAAAAUGUAUGGGUUGCCCACGUAACCAGAAUUGCACUUGCAAGAGUACCCAAUAUACCCAAAAUCUAGUGAUGAAUCAUCAUUGUCGAUACAUCGGCUAUUGUUGCCAACACAAGCAAAUUUUGUAUUAUUCUCCUUGGCACUCGCACAGUUUGGUUGAUCGACGAUGUUCCAGGACAGGUAAGCACCAAAUGUAGUUACGUUGAUGUAAUCCCACAAAGAGCUCCGAUUAUAAUUUACCUCUGGACUGCUUUCUCUGUGACGGACAAAUUUGAGAUUAAAUGCUCGAAUUCUCUCCCAGAAGAACGGGCAACAUCCUGUGCCGUUGCAGUUUUGCCUAGCCGCCAUGUCCGUGAUAUCACUGGUAGGACAUUUAAGUGUGCAAAUCAGCGAUGUUAUAUUCGCAUCCCGAUCACUAAAAUAUAUGUCAAAGUCGCAACCAGUGAUAUUCAUCCAGAAAAAAGAAAGUGUAAAUGAUUUCCCAGGAGAACUCCACGACAUGUUGUAUGUGUGAACACCAUAACUCACUGGGAUAGUAUAUGGAAAAUUGAUCCCAAUAUAUCUGCUCGAACUGUAGAGAUACCCUGUAUCCGCUGUGACAAUAUUGUGGGCAACCUGGGUGAUGCCAUCAUGUAGAAGGAGAGUUGGGGGCUGAGCAGACUCGUUGCAGGUAAGCUCGAAGUCACCACCACGGGAACAACGAGGCCCGAUGCCAAAAGGAUAGCUGAAGGUCAAGUCUCCACAGCUCGUCUGGCAACCGGAGAGGGUGGGGAUGGUGGAAACCGUGCCAUUGCUCUCUGCUUGGCUUCCCAGCACGACGGAUACCAGCAUCAAUAGUUGAAUCCCCAGCAGUGAACGGAGGAGCAAUAAUGGAAACA